rnacentral:lncRNA from 1 species
AAAAAAAAAAAAAAAACACUCGAUGAGAUAACAAUACAAAGAAACAGCUAAACCAACUAUUUAGAAAACCAUAUUUGCAUACCACAAACUAAUUUAAAGAUAACGUACGAUAUAACAGCAGUAGCAGAAAUAAGGUUGAUACAAUAAUUAAUGAAGCUCUACGCUACACCAAUUAGUGGUACCAUACCAUGCAUGAUCCAUCACACAGAGGAAAAAGAAAAAAAAAAAGAUUUUAUUUAGCUUACUAUAUACGUAUUGCCAGCAGCCUGCAUGCUAGUACGGGGGAGGGGGAGGAUGAGGAGGGCGGUUCCAAGGCGGCGUUGGCCUGUAGGGAUCAUAGUUAUAAGGAGGUGCGGGACCCGGGGGCCCCGGAGGCGCUGCAAAAGGAGGGGGUGGAGAGUGAUGGUGAUGGUACCGAGGAGGUGGUGGAGGAGGCGGAUGGAACAAUUCGGGGCGGGGUGGCGGUGGUGGUGGAGGUGAAGGACCGUAAACGUGAGGUGGCGGCGGUGGGUGAGGAGCAUAUGGGUCUGCUGCCGCUGGUGGUGGUGGUGGUGGUGGAGGACCUGGACCUGGACGGUGGUGUCUAUGAAAUGCCAUGUUUUUGAAAGUUAGGUGAUCAAUACAAAGUGCUGUGCUGUUGUUUUUGUUUUAAGGGAUUUGGAGUUGUUUGUAUGUAUUUCCUUUGACGGUUCGUCGGAUGACGUGCCCAUGUUUGUGCCUCGGCUUCCUCAGCCAAUCAGAUUUUUAUUUUUGUCAAAAUUCGUUUCGUCUCCUCAUAUACUCCGUUUCAAGAGUGCAUCAUAUUUUAUUGACUAUUAUUAUUAUUGGUUUUGACUAUUUUAUGAUGUUUAGAGACUACAAGAUAUGAUGUCAAAAAUAGACCCCUGUAUAAUAAUAUGAUGUUGUUAUCUUUCAUUUUGAUAACAAAAUCUCUUCGUAUCAUCCCAUAGGCCAUAUGAUUCAUUUUCAUUUUACGAAAAGAAAAAAAAAAAAGUAUGAUUGUAAAGAAACUACACCAUUAAUUUAAUCGUGAAAAUAUUAUUAAUCAUUACUAUAUGAUUUUCUAACUUUCUAAUACUAGUAACCAUAUUAUAAUAUACUAACACACUUUUUUUUUCAAUUACACCAAAUUAUUAUUAUUAUUUUCAUAAUAAAUUGAAGCUGUAAUAGUAUUUUUAGCGCCAUUAAUGAUUUCAAUUUAUUCAAUAAAUAUAUAAUUUAUUAUUUUAUAAAAUAGGCCUCUAAAAAAAAAAAGGAAAAAAAAAAUUGAAUCGAGAACAUGUUUGAAAAUUAUACUAUCCAAAGAAAAAUUAUAAAACCUAAGGGGUAUUAACAAAAAUUUCUUGGACUAGGCCAGGCAAUGUCUGCCACUGGUGGAAAGUAGAUAUUUAUUUGCAUUUGUGGUUGUAAUCGAAAAUGGUAGGGAUAGUGAAUCUUUUGGGUGUAUUUCUUACGGGGUGUCGUAAUUUUGACAUCGACUAAAACUUGUUUAAAUUUUGAUAUUUUUAUUAGUGCAUUGAAUGUAAGUAACGUGUUGCUAUUGCGAUAUCACGAAGUCAAGACUCUCUUCUGCUUUCUGCUUCGGCGUUUGUGAUUUGGCUUGCCAACACCUUCUCUCCAUUUCUAAUUUUAUAUUUCCUCAUAUGGUAGGGUGAAUAUUUACCAAUGCUACAGUUCACAAGUCACGAGAACUGGGCUUUCGGUUUGCACAGAUCGAACCCUGGGCUCUUGUUAAGUGUUAGCACCCCCCCCCCCCCCCCCCCCCCCCGAUACCCAAUUACGAUCCAAACGGAUAAAAGACAAGGCCUAGCUUUUAACAACAACGGAAAAUUCUCAUAGCACCUCUUUUAAAUUUUAUUUCCUAAAAAAUGAUGCUAUAAAAAAAAACAUAAUUUUUACUCUUCAAACCCAUCUUUGUAUUCAACGUAAUUUUAUUAAAUCCUAAACAUAUUCUCAAGCAAUGUAUUUUUGUAAUCAUGUUUGCUCUUUUGCUGGAAUUUAAAUUGCAAUGGCGGCUAGGAGUGGGCAAUUUAUUCGACCCGACCCGAUCCGAUUAAAAAAAAAUCAGGUUAGGAUCGGAUCAAAUGGAAGAUAAUAUCCGAACGGGUUGGCUAAAAAAAAAAAUGCACGCACGACACUCAAACACCAUCCACUUAUUCACAUGGUCACACCACUCUCAGCCCACUCAAACUCAAACCUACAACAGUGAGCAGCCUACAGCCAACACUCUCGUCUCUCUCAACUCAACUUCACUACUUUAGUUCUCAUCUCGCUCUCGUCUCUCUCUCAAGUCUCAACUCUCGAGAUUCAAGAAAGAAAAUAGAACAAUGACAAACACGCGGUUGGACACACGCACACACAUUGGAGAAGAAACUCAAGAAAACGGUUGUGAUGCCACUAGACGCAGCAAACCCAUUAUGCCUGCAGUCACCAUCGCCGAUGCCAACCGAAUCUGCUGCUCUCGCCUACAGAUCUAUUGCUCCAUGCCUCCAUAUCACCAAGUUCCUCCAAGCUCCAUCCGAACCCGUCAAACCCAAAUUUCCCUUUUGAAAUUUGAAGCUUCCAAUUCCACGGUUUAUAUAUUGUUGAUUAGUUGUAAUGCGUUUCACUAUAUAGGUAAUAUAUUUUAUAUUAUGUUAAAUUGGUAAUUACUUAAUUAGUUUAAUAACAUGUAAUAUGUAUUGUUAAAUUGGUAAUUUCCCAAUUCAAACCGAACUCAACCCGAGAUUUUGACCCGAUUUGAUCCGAUCCAAAUUAAAUUCAUAUCGGAUCGGAUCGGGUUAAGUUCGGAUGGAAUUUUUAGUAACCCAAUCAACCCAAAAUCCGAUCGAGUUGACCCAAACCCGAAAAUGCCCAACCCUUUGGCAACAGAAGAGCCAAAAGCAAGCACUACAGAAGCCAAUAAAUUUUAUGCCCUAAUUUGUGACGCCAUGCCCACUGUAAGAGGAAAAACUUAUUACUUUGUCUUUCACCAGUAACGGUUCCAACUUGGGAAUGAAUUAAUAAAAAGAACAUUAAAUCCAAUAUUACCUACAUAAAUGACUCAUGCCAUGUCAUUCAUAGCAUAAUCUUCUUUGACUAUACACUGACAUGUACAAGCAUUAAUCAAAUAGCUAAAUAUUAAUCCACGUGAUAGCAAGUAUUAAUCGUAGAAGUAUAACAUCUAACCAAAUUUAUUUUAUCAUUUUAGUUUUUUAGUCCAAAAUAAUUUCAUAAAUUGAUCUAGAACAUGCCAAAGAGCAAAAUCCGUUGGAUGCAUACGCAACCUACCUUGAAGCAACGGUGCAGUAGAAAUUGAACUAUCAUACCCUUAAGCAUGAUGGAUGCUGCAAUAAUAGGAUCAAUAGAAGGAAGACCAAGAAAAUCUUUGUUUGCUGGAAGAAUUUGCCCUUUUUAUGAUGUCUUCAACUUGCUUUUGUUGCAAUUGCUUUCACUGAUAGUACUUUGCUUUGCUUAUGUUUGAGUAAUAAUGUUACUUUGCUUUUGUUGGUAAAAUGGUGUAGAAAAAAGAGUCUUGAAUUUUCAAUGAAAUGCUGCUAUUAUUAUAAAUGAAUUUAAUGGGUUUAAUGAAUAUAUAAAAUCACUAUUAUUAUAAAAAUUGGGUCUAGUAAGGGUAUAUUAGAUAUUUACGUAGAUUUAUUGAGUAAAAUCUAAAAUUUCAAAAUUUGAGGGUGUGCUUAUUUAGUAAAUAUGUUUAUUGAGUAAUUUGGUGUGUUCAAAUAUCCCCACCCUUCCUAAAAUACUCUAGUUUAAUUCAUAAAAUACUAGUUCAUUAAUUAAAAUCAAUUAUUUUUUAUCGUUAAAUUUCACUCUAAAAAGAGUAUUUCUUUUAAAAUUUUCUAUUUAUAAAAUGCACAUCAAUCCUAAAAGUUUCUAAAAAAAUAUUUGCAAUUAAAAAUAUUAUAUAAUUCCUAUCUCCAUUAUUCUAAAUUCUUAAAAGUCCCAAAAAAAUUUUAAUUAAAUUUAAAAUAUAAAUAUAAAUUAUGAAACAGGGUGGGUGUAAAAAAAUAUUGAAAGAGUAAUUUAUUUAAUUGUUCAAUUAAAACUUCACCUAAAAUAAAAAAUAAUUAAUUUAUGAUUGAUUAUUUAAGUAAUUUCAAUUAAAAAGAGGCGUGGUAAGGAAUUUAAAGGGGUGUCAAGAGGCCUGCGCUAACAAAAGACAAUGUUGAAAUCCAGCCCAUCAAGUAAUUUUAAUAAUAUUAUAUCUAUGAAUUAAGCAGUAGUGAUGGAUGCACAAAAAUUAGUUGGGGACGAAAAAAAUUUCACUAUAAAAUAAACUUUUUUUUUUUUCUCACUAUAGGAAACGGAUCUGGUGCUCAGCUGAGCCGGAUCAAUAAUCAGUAAUUGCCUCAUAUGAGUCCUAAGUAAUUACUGACUAUUGAUCCGGUGCUCAGCACAAACUCAGCUAAGCACCGGAUCCUGGUCCCUCACUAUAAUAUUUGUGCCAAAUUUUGUACUGUUUUCGGUACAAACGUCAUUACUACAAAUUAAGAGGUGUCGCCUGUGAAAGUCUGAGACGUAGCUGGAAUAUUGAUAUUAUUUAUUACAUUCGGGCUCAAAGAUUGCGGGAAUAAGCCGAUGUCAGAGAUGAUAUGAGAGAGACCCUUGAGAACUUCCAUUAAACAAGAAAAUGCAGUUGCAUUCCACGCAUUGGAUGCGACUUUGACUGGAUCUUUGAUGCUCAAUUCGGAAAACGAUAAAAUGCUUAUCCAACUAGCCAUCUGGAGGAAGAAAGAACCCCUUGGGGUGCAGAUUUUCGGCUCAUACUUGAUAGACCCACUGACUUUGCUUACAUAAUUGCACGGAUUAAGAUUCCCGAUAGAUCUCCAGUUGUAAUGUAAUGUCAGCAUAUUCCUAAUUGGUUAACAUGAUCAAUCAUUUUUCCUUUUUUUAACAUCAAGUUUAUUGAUCGGCCACAGUCAAAUAAUAAAUGGUCCCGGGACAAACGAAAUUAUUGAACAUCAUUACGUCAAUGUCAAGUACAUAAAAAUCAUAAUUGGGACCCGCAAUUCGUUCACUAGAAACAAGUUCUUAGUUGAUGAGAGGAUAAUUGAUGAAACGGAAACGGAAACGGAAACGGAAAGAAGAAAAAAAAGGAGGAGGAACUAAAGUUUCUGAAUGAUUAAAAUAUUAUUAAAUAAAGUCAAAUUCACUAAAAUAAAUAAGAUCAAAUUAUUAUUACAUAAUAAAAUUCUACCUAUUCAAAUAAGAAAACAAAAUUAACGACACUUAAAUUUGAUGUGUAAAAAAAAAUGAUCAAUAUUUUAAAAAAAAACUUAAAUUUGCGACAUGACGCUCAAAGAAGUAGAAUCUACCAUGAAACCAUGGGUCAAUACAGUAAGCUUCAGUUAUGGCUCCAGAAAAGUACCAUGCUCAUCCUACCCAUCAUUUGACAUUAAUAAUGGUACACUCAGGAACUACAAGACAAUGAAACAGACAGUGACCUCAACUCACACUGAGGAAGAUUCUUACACCAGUAGUAACGGUUGAGAGUUACACGCUGUCUGAUUUGAAUCAAAGGUUUCAUUGCUUAGAAAAGCGGAGACCAACUUUACCGUUCCCAACAAACCCAAUUUAUUAAACCUGCAGAAGAAGAAAAAAAAUUAGAGACCAUGAAUACCAAAGAAGAAAUUAAAAGAUCUAGAUCAACAAAUAAUUGACAGGUACUGGAGUUUUAAAGUAACGCAAAGCAAAUUAUCAACCAAAAUAAGAGUUAUUGGUUAGUAGUCUUGAUUAGUUACCUAGUUAAUCCUUAUUAACCAUUCAGUCGUGCUGUUAAUACUAAACUGAAGCACAAUAAUAACAAAUAAAUCUUUAAUCUUGUUCUUGCAUAAGUGAGAAAGCUUGUUGUGCGAGCAACGGAAAAUAUUAGAGAAAAUAAAACUAAGCAACCAAAAAAAAGGAAUAUUAAUUGGAUUAGAAUUUAGGAAGCAUAAUGCUAUUCGUGCAGUGUGAGGAAAUAACUAUAAUGAAGUCAUACAAUUAUGCACGCAGUGCCACCAGUGAAGAACUGUGUAUAUGUUAUGUAAAGGGAGAGGCUGAAGAUGAUGACAGAAGAAUAGAGAGCACAAAGGAGUGAGAUGCAAGCUCCACGCAUUUCAUCAUCUGUGCUCUCUAUCUUCCGUCAACAGCAUCAUCGACAAUGCCUCAUCCCAUAUUAAUUAUAUUUGUGUGUGUGUGCGCGUAGAUCUUCAUGACAGACAGAUGGAGAGGCUUCAUGAUUUGAGGAAUUGAUGAUCUCUCUAAAGAAGAGAGCUAGGCAAAGGUCAGGACUGAGAGAGAGAGAGAAAUAAGAGACAGUGAAAAGCCCUAAGACCAAGAGCGUUCGAUGAAUUAAGAGGCUAACCCAAAACCUCUAUUUAUAGGGGAAACAAAAAAGGCACCCACUGCCCAAUUUUGUUGCUGAUUUCACAUGAUAUUUUUGAAUGAGGUGAAUUGAAAACUUGUGGUAAUAACUUUAGUUGACCUGAAUGAGGUAAAUUGAAAACUUGUGGUAAUAACUUUAGUUGACCCGGCUCAGCAGCCUUUGUACAGUACUUAAGAUCCUUUCGCCUAGUUUGAGUGCUCUUUAUUAGCCUUCUGUUGCGGCUGUUAAGAUAUCUUUUCUUAAUUAACAUGAGCUCUCUUAAAUUUUUAAAAUUCUUCUGUGUGUAUUCAUAUAUGAUGGAUUAUCUUUUACAUUUUUAUUUAAUAACUGCUAAUCACAUACACAUGUACGCUUGUAUUUUACGCAGGAAAAGUUAUUCAAGAUCGUCAAGGGAAAAUACUGGCACUCUUUACAAAUAUCUCUUGUGUACGUGAGGACAAAGACUUUUCUGGUGUUACAUUAUAUAGAAGAGGAAUGUUAGACACUGCAUUUUGUAAAAAUAUCAUUAUUGUUAAUAGAAAUAAUAGUUUGAUUUUAGUACUGCUGACUGUAUACUGGUGAUAUGAUGAUAAGAGGUAUGUGUAGAGAAGAGAGAGACGGAUGACAUCAUGGAUUAGGUAUGUACGUACGCAAGUUGCGAAUUAGAAUAUUGGAGAAGAAACCAGAAAUAUGCCCCUGAUCACCAAAGCCUUAUCCCGCGUCUACUCAAGUCAGACCUCCAUGACCAAAUGAAACUGCGAUACACUUUCUACAAAAUGGUGCGGUGACCACUCAUCUUCCAGCUGUCAUUACCCCAUUGCUUCUCCUUAAUUUUAUUCUUAUUACCGAUCGGCACCUGCUUUCAUCACAUUUGAGUUCUGCACUAAAGAUGUUCUCACCAGUGUUUCACUGAUCAAGACCACCAGUACUCUUUAUCCUUAUGGUUCUCAAUUCAGAAGUUCCCGAGGAAAAAUCUUGGAUGCUCUUUGUGUAUGCUAUCAUUUUUCAUCGGUUAAAUAAUUGUCAUGUCAUGUAUCGCGUGAUUGAUUAAAAAGUAUCGAGAGCAAUAAUUUAUAAAAGAUGGUGUAUACCGAAAUACUCUACGCUUUUCUCUCCUCUUCAAAUGUUGUAAGUUAUAAUUAAUUUCUCUUCAAGCUUGAGUUGAGGGUGAAGAUUUGCUUUCAGAGUAAACACUUUGUUAAAUUGAUAAAUAUAUUGAGUAGUUCGAGUUUAAUUGUUUUCUUUUUGAGCUAGCUCUCAAUAGAUUCUUAACCUAAUUUGUAACUGUAAGCACAGGGGAAAAGAAAUUGUUUGAGCACUUGAAUCUACAGGACUAAAUUAAAUAGAGAAGGAAUUUAAUAUAUGUCGUGCAAUAAGUGUUUUCUUUUUCGUGGAUAUACAUGGUUGAUAAUUAGGUGACACUUAGACUGAUUUAUUUUAACGGGAGAAUGAGAAAAUUUAUUAGAGAAAUUAAGAGCCAAUUAGAGGGUGGUGUCCUGCGGCCUCCGGGACUAUCUACGUUGCAGAGAGAGAAUGGCGACAUCAUAUAUGAUUGCCAUGGGCGAUGAAAGAAUUGUUUGUGACUCUAAUUACCCAAUUGCUAGUGUUCUACGUGCAAUCUCAUUAUGUAUCUGAAAUGAGGAUUUUUAUGGCAUGGGAAUCACUUCCUAAACUUAUCCCUUUUUGGAAUGGGAUCAGAGCAUCUUUCUUGUCAAGAUAAUGCUUUUCCCUAUUUUGGUAGGGAACCACAAUUAUUCCCAACACAAAACAACGAUAUCUCAUCAGUGCGUGUAAGAUACUUCCCGUGCUUCAGCAAUUUGUCACUAGACAGUAAAUUAGGGUUUUUAUUUUGACAGUAGUUAUAACUCAAAAGUAUUUGUCAUAGAUUUUUUUAAUAUACUAAUAGUAAAAUAAUGAUUUAUUAAGUGAUAAUGUUGAUCUUAUGGUGUAUAAUAGUGGUAUAUAUAUCGCUCUAUUUAGUUAAUCAACGACUUUUGUAUUAUAUGUAGGGAGUUAUAAAAUUUUAACGCGUGUCCCGAGCUCACCAUAUGUAUGAUGGACACUAGCAAAAUAUAUAAUUGAGUUUUAUUUAGUUUAUGCCAUCAAAUCAUAGCCAUUACAAACAUAUUUAUAUAACAAUUCUAAUAUAUUUAUAUUUAUACAUUAUCAAAUUUUAAACUCUCAUAUUUGUGGGUUGAAAGUUAAGUUAUAUAUUAGCAAGUGUUAGAACUCCUAAUUCAUAGUAAAUGAAGCUUUUAAGCCAGAAUAUCACAGUACCAAAAGGAGCCAAAAAUCAGUUACAUAAAGCUGAGGAAGCGCGUAGAUUACGAAUAAACAUGCUUGGUUGGGAAAAUUCAUGAUUGAUGAAUUCAUUGAAUUGGAGAAUUUUUUUUCAAGAUGGGUUCGGAAGCACCAUUGGGGUUGGUUGGCUUAUCUUUUUCUUUAAAUGAUCCCACCCCCUUUAACGUUGGCUAAUUUAUUUAGCACAUGAUCUGUUUCUGUCGACUUUUUGUUCUGCCUUUUGACUUAAUUCCUUUAACGUUGGCUCUUGGCUGCGUGCACAGCGCAUUUUGCCCCAUAUUAUGAGUUCUUGAGCAUGUGGAUGGGACCUCCAUUCGAUGGAACCACUUUACAACUUUCCCAACUUCAGCGAUUAUUAUUGAUAGUAAUCUAUACGAUAGCCAGUACUAAACGAAUCCAACAAACGCAAAUUUGAGGAUACAAAUCAAAUCAUAUAUGUCCAAGCCAUUCACAAAAAUGUAAACUAUGGAUAAGUACCUUCCUCAAUAUUUGUUUCCUGUGGUAAGAGUCUCACCACUAAUUAUGUACUUGAUAGAUAGAUGACUAAAUUCUCUUUUAGUCCAGAGCAUGUACGUCAAUUAUUGGUUGGUCUCCAUAUUUCUAUAAACGUCCUUAAUCAUCUUUACAUCGUUAUUUAUGUUAGAGAUAAACGAGCUAAAAAAAAAAAAAAAAGGCUACUUUUUGAUGAGGGAUGGCACACUCUUUACUGGUGCUCAGAGUCAUUUUUUUAAAUGCGAGGACUAGCUUAGAAAUUCUACUAAAAUAUAGGAACAAAAGAGGAGUUUAUCCCCUUUAUUUUUUUAGUUUAUAUUUAGCGAUGUUUUUUUAAUCAUCGGAAAACUUUAUUCUACAUAGCAAAGUAUGUAACGAUGUUGUUUUAUCAUCGCAAACUUUAUUCUAAACCGGGAAAUCGCGAACAUUAAAAAAAAAAAAAAAUUAGAUAAGCUAAUUGUUAUACAAAGAUAUAUAGAGCAGUUCUUCAAGCUAAUUAACUUGUUAUCCCAUUUCAGCAGCUCUUUCUUCCGCCAUAGCCUUCCAUCACUGCAAAACAAACAAGAUUUUGCCAAUGUAAGCCUAUAUAUAUAUAUAUAUAUAUAUUAUUUUUGGUAUAUAUUUUAUUAUUAUUAAUUUGUUAUACUAUACUGUAAAACAAAUUAAGCAAGAAAUAUAAUUUCUUUGACUAUUCUAUUUGCAUCAAAUAUUUCAUUAGUGGCAACCCGAAUCAAUAAUAAUAUAUACUUACGUAAGUGCUUUGAUUACGUACCUUAGCAGUUGAUCCAUAAUCAAAUUCAGCUAUGGACGGUGAUGGUUUCAUCAUGACUUGCUGCUGAACUUUGGGGUAGAUCAUACUGGGAGUCAUGAAGUUCUGACAAAGAAAUAAAACAGGCACAUAUGAAAUAUAUGGAACUUCACAAAAUUUUAAGGAGCAAGGAGUGAAAAUGAACAAUGUUACGAGGGCACCCACCACUUUUUUUUAAAAAAAAAAAAAAAUUCAGGAAGGAAUUGACAAAAUCCGAGUUAUAUACAGUCACCGCACUAACGUGUACUCCAGGGAAAUGUUGUUUAUUUGCAGGACGAAUUUCAACUGCUUCAUCAUCCUGAGAUAAUUUUUUUCAUGAAAACAAAUGAAAAAAUAUCCGUUUUUAAAAAAUUAGGUUUUCGAGUUUUAUUAAUUAAUGCGUCGAUCAAAUACAAUCACAUUCGUGUCAUUUCUAAAGAUUAAAUAAAAUCCUUUUUCUAUAUACUAGACAGUAAAUAUGGAAGGAAAUAAUUAAUGCUCUCUAUAUAUAAGUGUGUGCAAUUAAUAUAACAAAAACAACCUAAGGAAAAGAAAAUUAAGCAACCUGUCUGCAGUCAUAAGGCACGAAAUCAAUCAAGAAGUCGAAAAGCUCGUCGAGCCUUAAAGCCCUAGCAAUGUCACAGCGCUGAAGUGUCCGGCGCUUACCAUCCUCAGUUUGCAGCCAUGCUCGAAGUGUCAGCUCCAUAAUGAACAUCUCACAGGCUUUUGCGAACACUGCAGGGGAGUCUGCGGUCGUCAUCUACAUUAAUAAAUAUACAAGUGAGUUAUAUAUUGGAUCAAAGCACAUACAACGCACGAGCUCUAAAUGAACUAAAAUUUAGAAAGUACAUGCGAUGCAGCAGAACUUAAAUGUUCCAAUAUUCCAUUUAUUCUUGAGAAAAUCCCCUAUCUAUUUAUCAUCGUACAUUUUUUAUUCUUUUGUUGUGUUAGUUUCAUUGCUGAGCAUUAUUUUUGUAGAACCGCACUGCACUAGUUUGGUAUCACAGGUUUUGGAUUUCAUGAAGUACAAAUUUGGUACUUUAUUUCAAAAAGAUUAUCUAAAAAUGAAAUGAAUGAAUCUUUUUUUGAUAAUUUAUCCCAAAAAAUUGGAAAGUGCCAUUUUCCACUUCUAAAUUACUAAAAAAAAUGACACGUUUUCUACUCAUAUUAACUUUCUUUUUUUUAAAAAAAAUAAAAAAUAAAAAAGGCGUACCAAACAUGUUUUACAUAUUUUUAUUUUUAGAAAAUUAAAAAAAAUAUUAAAGCGGGUACCAGAAACAACACCUUAUUAUUCUAACUCAUCAAUGUUAUUAAAAUAGCGAAAUUGAAAAUUGAGUAUCGAAGUUAAAUUUCAAGAUGGUGCUUGAUAGUUAUUAAAGAAACAAUUGAGUGCGUGGCUACACAAUCUUCAUAGAUACAUCAUAAAUGGACACUCAAGUUGCAAAUCGUUGAACUGAGUUCAUCUUGAUAAGUUACCCUGUUUCUAAAAUCAAAAUAUUGUUGUAAAAAUAAAUUAAAUAAAUCUUAAGAAGAUGAAUUAAAAAAAAUAAAAUUAAUUCAUUAAUUAAUUAACCAGCAAACCUUCACUUCUUCCCUUGAUUUCAUAACCUUUUUGAUCCUCGCCAAAGGUAGCAGAUGAUUGCGCAAGGAUUCUAACAAUACACCAUGAAAAUCAACAAGAUCGAUGCAUUAGUAAAUGAGGACUAAUUAAUUAAUAUAAAAAUCUAUCGUUAUGAUAUGUGGAUCGACCUGUCCUUACAGAUUUAGAAUUGGAUAAUUAACUAUAAUUAUGUCAAAUGAAAAAUGAACCUGUGGUGGCAUUUUCAAUAUCACUCUUUUGUUGUUCCCAGAAUGAUUGUACAAGCUGUCGUUGCUUCAUCAUGAGAGCCAAACUAUGUGCCUCUUCCUCAUCCUAUUCAUUGAUAUACAUGCGAAAAUAAAUAAAUAAGCGAGAUUUGACAAUAUUAACUGGCACUAAGCAGAUCUUGAAUAUCACCUCUUCGGUUGGCUGAUGGGAUGGCAACAUGAAAGGAGUCAUCGGCAUAAAAUUAUGCACCGGUGCUGCAUCCUGAGAUGGAGUACUUGAAGGUGUGAAAUCAUCCUCCGAUACAUUCAAAUCCACCUUUGGCCUCCUCAUGAUGAUUCUUUUAUGUAAUUUUCUUGUCAAGGAAGGAGUCCUUAAAUAAUAAAUAAGAACACCACACCUUUAAUGUCAAGGGAUAUAUAGUGCCUAAUUAAUUAGGGUUUAAACACAGUGCCUUAAAUAGAGACAUUGCCUAAACAAGGUUGUUAAAUAAUAUUUAUGGCAUUCAUGCAAAGCAAUGAGCAUUAAGUGUAAGCCAAUCCCAGGCUGUAAUUUUAGCAUCUAGUGUCGUCUUAAGAUAAGCACAAGCAUAGGUGGGGAAAAAUGUCAUACGAAAACAUGAUAUCUCCAGUUCGUAUACUCGCGUGGAACUCCAAACACGUGCUCCAUGAUGAUCAUGUGUAAUGCCAGGUAUUGAUUUUAUGCUCACAUUCAAAUUUGGAAGCACCAUUAAUUGACUACAAGCGCUCAUUCUAAGCACUUGUUGACCCAGCGUGUGAUCAAUCAUCUCGUGUACUUUUAACUCAUGUUUUUCUAUGAACAUUUAGAUUUUGAUUCUUAACAUGUAAACCUGGUGAGUAUGUUAAAAAUAUUGUGGGAAAUGUACUGAUUGGAGAGAAAGUAUGAGUCAUACUAGCUUUUGCGAGUAGAGGGAAAUCUGAAAGUGUUGCAGCAUCCCAUUUCCCAGUUUAACAAGUGAAGUUCUUCCUAUUCAGCAAAAAAAUGGCUAGUUGGUCUCUUUUUCGGUAAAAUUGAUGACAUUUUGUUUUAAUGUUGGCAAAAGAAUCAGAUUAUCAGUAUCUCAUCUGGAGUUGGUCCUCUAUUCUGUACUAAUUGGCUGAAUGGCUAUAGAGUUUGACGUCUGUUUGGCAUACAAGGUGAUCAAAAAGGAAACAAGUUGAGUUUGUAUGAAAAAAAAAAAUACAGAUUUAAUCUGGUGGAGUUUAAUAAUUAAAAAGAGAAAGUCUUGGUUGAACAGGCCUUCGUAUUAAUGAUCUAAAUUCCUUCUUGAUAUAAAGUCACUGGAAUUUUAAGAGAAUUUCCGUUUUAAAGAUGAUUUAGAGGUUGCUAUUUUUAGUUAGGAUUUCCAUUAGUUAAGGUUAAAGGUGUUCUGUAUAUUAAGCAAGCUUAUUUCCUAAAAUUGGACGUAAUAUGCCCAUUGUUUUAUUUAUUUAUUUAUUUAUUUUCAAAUAACAAGGAGUUCGAACAUUUUUAUUUUUCACUAAAUUCUUACUUUUUCAUAAAUUCAACAAAUGAUUAGGAUACCCUCUCCCUUUAUUUGAACUUAAUUUAAUUUCUAAUUUAAUGAUCUUGUUAUGUGUACAAAUAAAUAUGUGGUAAAAAAUAUGCCUUUAUUAUUUGUCAUUUAUUAACCAUAAAAUGUUCGUAAGUAAAACUCAUAUCAAACGAGAAUCUUAAUAUACAUUCACGGUUUAUAUUGACAUUUAAAAAUUAGAACAUUGCCUAUGAAAUAAUUUUAAAAUACAAUUAUACUAACGAGUAACACCAUUCAUUGAUAGAAUUAACUAUUGCUACCUCAACAUUCAAUGAAUGAAAUAGUUAUUAGUUAUAACUUAAAAAGCAAGAAAAUAUUAUUGUACAAUGAUAUAUCCAAUGAAUUAGAUCCUCUUAUUAGUAACAAUAAUAUAUAUGUAUUUGCUCAUCAAAUAAAAGCUCGGAUCACGAUAUAAUUUUGGUGCAAACAUUUUUCUAAUAUCAACAUUGAAAAGUUUACCUGUGAGACUAUUUAAGAGCAUCGUUGUGCUAGCACUAGUCAGUGACGUAUUCAAGUAUUACAACCGUUACAUCUACUGAUGACGCGUAAUAAUUAGACUCUUAUUAGUAAUAACUUGAAUAAUAAAAAAUGUUACUAGAAUCAGUUAAUUAUUGUAGCAGCAGUGAUUAUUGCUCAUUAUAUUUUUAUUUUGAGAGCAUUUUACCUCCGAAGUAAAAACUAUAUAAUGAGGUAUUAUAUAUGAACGCUGAAAUUUUAUUAUUAUACUUCGAUGAUAAUAUUACAUAUCUCAAGCAUCAACAAUCGUAUGGUAUCAAGAUAAAAAGGAUCAUUCACAAAAAAAAAAAAAGAAAAAAAAAAAAGAAAAAUCAUCGUCUCCUUGAAAUGAAUGGAUUCAACGCCACCAACAAACGGUGGUUGUGGUUGGACAUAACUCACUCCAACAUUAAAAAAAACAACCCAUACAAUAUCACGUUACAGGGCCCCGCCCCACCUCAACCCAAAGGAAGCAAAACUUUGUGUAGUUGAAUUAUAUUAUCCAACUAAAGACAUCAACUCGCGACAACAUGCAACAACAACAACAGCAGCAGCAACAACAAACAACAUGCAUAUAUAUAUAUAUAUAUAUAUAUUUAACUAACUAGUUGAAACCAACGUUGCUUGCUCUCACUAAAGAAAUAUACACCAUCAUCAUUUCGACGUUCGGCUUUGGUUGUGCUCUUCUUGCCGAUCUUUAUUUUAUUUUAUUUUCAUCCAUGGAAUGAGGACGUCUUUUUAGUAAAAUAUUAUAUAUCAUACAUGUAGAUAAUCAAUCAUCUAAACCUAAAUUAUUUUUCAUUUUGUUUCCAUUAUUAAUGUUAUUAAGAUUAGGAUUAUAUUUAUAUUUAUAUUUAAUACACACACACACACACACACACACACACACAUUCCAUUUAAUAUCUAAAUUAUCAACGUGGGACUGGUAUUCUCUCUUGUUCAGUAAGCGAGUGACGGAAGUGGCAUCGGUGGCCAUAAGGGCAGGUGCCUCCAGAUAAAACCAUCCGGCAAACCUCAGUUUUGUACUUAGGGUGUCUGAUUACGGGCCGCAAUUCCGUAAAGUCAUGCGCAAAUUGGCAAUAGUCACCGUAUGGACACGAACCAGUCUCCUGCCACUUGUUGCAGAGCUCCGUCUUCCACAUCCCUUGAUUGUACACCUCCAAUUCUACUGCCUUUGCCUCCUCCGCCUCCUCUCUCUUGUUAUUACCGGGUGGCACGUACACCCUUUGCUGCACCCGCAAUCACAACAACAUAUCGUCUUAUGUUAUGCAAUCUGAGAUAAUUAAUAUAUUUUGAGAAUUGGUAGAAUCGCACAUUGAUAAAACCAUAACAAAAUACAGUUUGCCCCAUUAGCAUGCAUAUAACGUACGGAGCAACCAGCCCCCUUCCACAUCUCUCAUAACGUGUUCUACGAAAUAUCUAUUAAAAUAUGGAACAACAAUUCUAGAACUUAAAUCUUAAGAGUGGCUAAAAACAAAAUCUAAUAAAAUAUUUAUGGUUGUGAUUAUGGUAUUUAAAGAGUAUUAUACUCCACAGUUUAGAUAUUGUCAGAUGAUUAGGUUUUGUUAAUUAAUUAUGUAACCAUCUCAUCUCACGAUGUUAAAGCUAUAUAUAGGCCAGACUCAAACCCAAUAUUUAUAUGUUAAGACUUUUAUUUAAUAUUAUUAUUAUUCAACUUAAUUUGAACUAUCUGCUUAUACGGUUGGAUCAAAUAAUUUUUUUAGCAUAUAACAUCAGUGCUAAAGUCCUGUAUUCAAUUCCCACACUGUGUAUCUUAUCUGGUAACCUUUUUUUAAGCCCUAAUGGGGAGUUCUGUGCUAGCUGGAGCAACCAAACUGUUUAUUUGCUAUAAGGCAACAACUGUUUCAAAAGAGAUUUUAGAUGCUUAUCUUGGUUUAUAACUCAUCUGAGAGGGCUUGUUAAGAGUUAUUUUCAAUAUUAUUGCAAACAUUUGCAAACGGUUAAUUUUCAUAUAGACUAACAACAUUAAACAAAAGCUACGGUAAAGAUACUUGUUGACUCACAGCUCUUGGCCGACUUGUACCGCUACUUGCAUUGGCCUGUUUCGGCUUAAUAGUACAGCCACUGGACCGGACCGAGAUGCUCUUGGGAAAUGAUUCUCUCUCCAAAACGGUUCGCUUCUCCAACCGGUUCGGUUCCAUCACGUUGUUCGGAGCAAAAGCAGGUGGAAUAUCUUCAGUCAUACGGUGAAAGCUGCCAGUGAUGAUCUUGAGGAGUCUGGCAUUGGCCAAUCGGAGAUCGGCAUUCUGUUGUCGUAGGGUUUCCAGCUCUCUAGUGAUGGCUUGGAGACGAGAAAAGCAGAGAUCAUAGUGAUCACAUAGCUGCUGGUACUCCAAUAUGAGCCGCGCUUGCUGAAGCCGGUGCUCCGUGGCCAUGCGGUGGCGAUCGUCCGUGAUUAAGGAAGGCGACAGUGACGACCUUGGCGGGAAAACUGAGUUGUACAUUGAACUGAAAUCAACGUCAAAAUCAAAAUCAAAAUCGAAAUCAAAAUCAGAUGUCAGAGAUGAGCUCGUAGUUGCAGUUGCUGUCGUCAUGCUAGUUUUUGCAUCGGACGGCGAAGAUUCAUCUCUGAUCUCUUUCUCCAUUAAGAUUGAUUUCAGAUAAAUUCAAUUCUCUUUCUUUUUUUUAAUAAAUUAUUAUUAUUAUUUUUUACAUAUCCUCUCAUUCCAUUUGUAGAAUCACCUGAAAUCAUAUGUACCAAUAUAUAGGCGGUUGAAUUGAUUUGAUGCUUUUGGUUUUCUAGGACACGUGGAAGUAGCUCAUUGGCGAGAAACACGGUGUUCAGUCUGAGAGGCCAGAGCAGCGGAUAUCAUCAGGACAAUUUGCUUCGGCGCCAAGGAAUAUAAAAACCGUUAAGAGAUACGGCAACAGAAUCGUAUGCAAGUGUAAGUAAAUGAUGCUGGAUGACAGUUGCUAGUUGUUAGGGGCAUGUUUGGCGUGGCAUGUAAGAAUGUGAGUUGAGAGAGAGACGGAGAGUGGUUCCGGAGUUUGAUGUUCACUUAUGAUGACUGGAUUAAGACAUGCUUUUCCACUUAUUGUAAGUAAAAUACUAAUAAUGACUCUACUUAUAGAAGUUGCUUCUAUUUGACAACUUUAACUAACUAUGGUCCCCUCAAUCUAGAUGGAAUGCCUAAUCUUUUGUUGUGUUUCCAACAACCAAGUUGAUAAAUUGAACACCAAUUUAAAUAUUAUAGCCUUGUUAUUGUAUAACAAAAUCUUCGAAAUUAUACACUUCGCUGCUUUUUUAUGGGAAUGGACACCAACGCACCACAUUGAACCCGUUGGUUUAGUUGGGUCUGUUUUCGUUUGGAUUUUUAACUGGGCCAACCCAAGUUCAAGCCCAAUUUGGCAGACUCAAAUAUAAAUUCUGUUUUGCUCCACAAUCCCCAUACAACGACCACCAAAUUAUGACACGUGUGUGUAUGUAUGUUUUUAAGUUAUAUAAUUUAAUAGAGUUUGUGUUCGAUGAGUUCAAUUUAUUAUAAAAUCAUAUGGUUAAUAAUGUAUCCGCAUGAAAAAAAAAAAUUGAGAAUACUCGUAUAAGAAAAGAACUCUAUGUGGGUGUGUAUAUAUAUUUUUGUAUGUGUGAUCAAGAAACAUAAGUUGUUUUGUUUGCUUAAUUUGUCUGUCUCUUGCUUCACACUAAAAAUUUUUGUUGCCGUAGUCAACAAAAUUCAUCUUUAGGAAAGUCUAAGGAGGACUGAAUCCGAUACUUAAUUGAGCUUCAUAUUGACGGUGGAAAAUAUGUGAGGUUCACUGGCACUGCUAUGAAAUAUAUAAUAAUAUUAUGGAAACAUGCCGACAAGCAGAAAUACAGCAAAUGAAUAUCUCUAAUAAUUAUUAAGGGGUAACUGCAUCUUACAUAGAAGCUAAAUUAAUUAACAAUUUUUUUUAAAAAAAAAAAAAAAACUUACAUAUGUCAAUAUUAUCAAUUUAGUGAUUUCAACAAUCCAUUUGCAAGGAAGAUAUGUCACGGCCGGUAGCUACUAAAAUCUUAUAAAUCUCAAGCACAAGCCUAUUCUCAAUUUCUUCAUUGGAAUAAAUAACUUUAUCACCUUGCCUUGCUCUUGGAACCCGCCUGCCUCCGAAAACAUUAUCGUUAUUCAAAGAACCAACUUUGCCAGCCAAAUUGUUCAUCUUUCGAAUGUAACCGUUCUUGAACUUGGUCCAUAGCCGCAACGGUGAGGCAAUAAUCUUGAAGCAAAGCUUUGGCACGGCUUUGAUCCUCCAACACCUACUCGAUGAGGGCCCUUUUAGCCUUAUGACUCUCACGUUCCUUUUUCUAGCAUCGUUGAGUUUUUGAUACCCUCUUCUUCUCCAGCAUCUCUUCAGUGAAUUACAAUUUGGUAUCAGCUCCAUUUUGUCUGUGUAUGUGUGUGUUGUAAGUGGCAAAGAAAGAGAAUGAUUUAUAGACAAGUUCACAAGAAAGUCAUAAGCAAGGCCAAGGUAGUAUGGUCAACAAUAAGGAGCUUGAAUAUAAUUUCUUCUCCCUUUUUUUAAAAAUUAUUUUAAGAAUUAUUUAUGAAAUAUUCGAGAUAUCUAGUGGCGUGUAGAGUCUGUAAUUUCAUUUUCUUCAUGUCUUUAUUAACUAAUCUAUGAUACUGAUGUAUGUUUGACCAGAGAACAUAUAGACCAAGAAUGUCAAACCUGGGUUGCUAUCAUUUCAUAUAUAUUAUAGAUAAUUAGCAAAUGUUGUGUGAUUGUGAUUUUCAUGUAAUUUUCAUGGAGGAUUCGUUGUAAGUUGAAAUUAAUUUUGAAAUUAGCUAGAAAUUAAGUUAUGAUUGAAGUAAGUGUAAUAAUACAUUUUUAAUGAUAUAUCUGCGUGCGUGCGCACGUUUAUGUUGCGUGCGCGCUUAUGUUGCGUGUAUGCGUGACAUUUUAAAUGGAAAUAAGCUACUUAUAAGAUUAAAACAUUAAUCAUAAAUAAAUUAAGUUAACUAGCACAUAACACAUGGCAGUAAUAUAUUUCUUCGGGUGUGAAUCUAGAUUGUUGACGUGUUCGAAUCCAAGUGAUGGAGAGGAUUCAAUGUGUCAGUUUAUGGUAGAAGCCUAAGUGGUUGAUUUGAUAAAUUUAUAAUAUGGUCAAGACUAAAGCCUUGUUUAGGAUUAAAGUUUAAACACUAUGACUAACUUAUUUUAUAAUUUUUUUUAUUAAAGGGGGCUCACUUAUUUCAUAAAUUUUGAUAUAGAUAGUAUUUGAUAAAAUUUUUAAAAUUAAUUUAUUUUAUAAUUUUUUCUAUUUUAAUAACAACUUUUAAAAAUAGGUAGAGAUUACUUUAUAUAAAUAAGUUGCGAAAUAAACCAUCACUUCUUUUUAAAAUAAUUAUUAUAACUUUUAUAUUUUAAUAAAAAAAUAUAAUUAUGUCUCAUUUUCAUAAAUUCUAAUAUAUAAAUAAAAAUCAUCAUCUGUAAGGGAUCCACAAAUAACUAGAAGACGAUAAAAAUAUACUAAAAUCAUGAAAUUCAAUAUAAAAAGUAAAUGAAAAUCCUUCUCAAUCAAGUUAUUCGACCGAUUCUCAGAAAAAGAAAAAGGAAAAAAAAGUAUUUACGAUUGAAAUCAUGCAUUUAUGAAAACAAUCAUGACCCUUACUACACAUGCAAGUUCGGCAAAGGUAGGAUGCGAUAUUAUAUUUUAUUCUUAUAUUCUUUUUGUUCUCUUUACCAAAAACCCUUGUGAUAUAUACUUUUUUUUAUAUUUUGGUAAUUAUAUAAUAAAAUAGUACGUUCAUAAUAAAAUUUACUAAAUGUAAGCACUUUACUUUUAAAGUACCAAGCAACUUUCUAAAUUAAUAGUUCAUUUGAUUUGCAUAGCAAAAUCAACCUAUUUCAUCAACCACCGCCCACUACAAUCCCAAAUUAGUCCUAAAAUAACAGCUGUAGAUUCAACCAAUUAUCCUAACUAGGAAGAAUUACUUAUAAUUAGAAAUGAAAAAAAAAUACUGAUAAAAUUUGUACUAAAAUCAUGAAAUUCAAUAUAAGAAGUAAAUGAAAAUCCUUCUCAAUGAAGUUACUCGACUGAUUCUUAGGGAAAAUGAGGAAAAAAUAUAUAUAUACAAUUGAAAUCAUGCAUUUAUGAAAAUAAUCAUGACCCUUACUAUCAUGCAAAUUCGGGCAAAGGUAGGAUGCAAUUUUAUAUUUGAUUCUUAUAUAAGUUAAGAGAAAAAAUAUUUGAUUUUACUUGGAAGUUGGAAAUGAUCAACUAAAUACAUUAAAAAUAAAUGAAUAAAUACAGCCCACAUUACUAUGUACAUCUUGAGACCGCUUCUCUACUAGAUUGCAGUAUAUGCUAAGCAAAGAGAUUCAAUAAUUAAUUGAGAAAUGAUCACUCUAGUUAGCCAUUGAACUUCUUGCAUAAAAAUUCAAAUAAAGUUUUUUUUUAGGGGGGGGGGGGGGGGAGUCAAAAUAACAAAGAAAUCGCACAGUGCCAACUUAUAAAUAAUUCACUCAGUUUUGCAAGGAAGAUAUGUCACGGCCGCUUGCUACUAAAACCUUAUAAAUCUCAAGAACAAGCCUAUCCUCAAUUUCUUCACUAGAAUAAACCAACUCUAGCACCUUGCCUUGCUUUAUUUGGAAUCCGCUUGGUUCCAAAAGCACUCUCAUUAUUCAAAGAACCAACUUUGCCUGCCAAAUUGUUCAUCUUUCGAAUGUAAGCAUUCCUGAACUUGGUCCAAAGCCGCAACGGUGAAGCCAUGAUAAUGUUGAAGCAUAGCUUUGGCACAGCUUUGAUCCUCCAAUCCUCCAACGCCUGCUUGAUGAUGAUGAUGAGGGCCCUUUUGACCUUAUGACUGUCACAUUCUUUUUUCUAGCAUCAUUGAGUUUUUGGUAUCCUCUUCUUCUCCAGUAUCUCUCUGAUGAAUUAUAAUUUGGUAUCAGGUCCAUUUUUAUUUUCCUUGUGUGUGUUGCAUCAGAGCAACAAAGAAAGGGAUUUAUAUAGAUAAGUUCACACAAUGUGGUCAACAAAGGGCGGUUUGAAUGGAUUUAUUCUUAUCCUUAUUUUAAGAUAUAUAUAUAUUUUUUUGGAUGAAAUAUACCGGUGGCGUGACAUGCAAGGUUGUGUCUGCAUUGUGCACAAAGCUAAUUAAUUAUUAUAUAAAAUACAAUGAUUGAUCUAGUCUUCUAAUUACUUAAUUUAGUGAGCAUGCUAAGUUAAAGAUUCUGUAACUUACAGCCCACCCAUUUUAAGAAGCACUGGCCACUGGCCACUAUUUUACAAGGUUUUGGUCCCACUUUUUUUUGCCUAUACUUGCGCAAAAUGGGUUGACUGUAGCCUGUAAGUUACAGAUUCUCUAACUUAGCCACACGGGAAAAAAGGUUAUAAAAACUUUUUGGACAGCAAAUGGUGGAUCUAUCUUGUCAUAGUUAUGUGUUUUUUUUUUAAUUUUCACUGAAAAAUCGUUGGAAUUUGAAUAUAAAUUACACUUUAGAAUGCUAUAACUACUUAACUAGCUUGAUCUACCAAUAACUAAGCCGAUGUUUCAGGCAAGAUAGAUCCACGAUUUGGACAGCAAAUAUGCAAUUAAUUUGCGUGCGUUACUCGAAAUAUAGAUUUAAUAUUUUAUGCACGAUUUUUGUUUUUUAUUGCUAAAAGAAUGUAAUUAUAUAUAUAUCUUUAUUCCAUAUUUAUUCAGGUUAUGAGAUUGCUUUGCACCAGGCACCAGCUGGUAUAAAGAUUAGUUAGAUUUGAUCCAAAUUCUAUGUACUUUUUUUUUAAAAUAAUGUAUUUGUUUAUUUUUAUAUAUUUAUCCAGAUUGUGAGAUUGAUUUGCACUAUUUAGUAUAACUAUUUAUUGAGAUUUGCUUCAUAUUCAAAUUUUUUUUUUUGGUAAAAAUAUAAAAGUUCAUAAAUCUAACUUAUAUUCUAAAGAUAGCUCAAGAGUUCAAAAUUGUCUUAAGUUUUAUAUUAUUUGGUAUAGUAACUAUUUAUUCUUAGUCAAUAUAGGUUGAUAAUAUCUAACAUUUCAUGAUACGUGCAACUUGAUCUUUUUAUUUGAUUCUUAUCACGUGAAAAAGUAGUAUGAGUUCACUCAUGUAUGAGUCUAACUUGAUACAUUAAACAAACUCAUAAAACUAACUCAUAUUUAAAAACUAAUAAGUGUUAACCAAAUCUAAAAUAUUAAAUCCAAAAUCAAAACUCGGCCAAUGUGAGGUGGAAUCCUCAGAAUUUGAUACAGUAGUCAAUUGACUAAAAAUAAAAUAAUAGCACAGCUUAAUUUAGAUCGGUAUUGAACAUUCAUAAAGAGAAUGAGCAUUGAGCCCAUCUAUUUGGAACAUAUACCAAUUGGUUCAAGCCUAUGGCCAGAUGAGACUAGCGGUCCAGGUAAUAAAUAAAAUUAUUCAGCAGUAGAAGACUGAAUCAAGUCAACAGCUCAAAAUCUGCAUAAAAUUAAAACAAUAGAAAACUGUAGUGUUGACUGUUGAAUAAUUCAAGCUUGAGGAGUAAAUUAAGCCUAGCUUGUGACGACAUGUGAGGCCCCGGGUUGACUGACAAAACAAUUUGGCUCGUCUAGUUUGCACAAAGCCGCAAACAGUCCUCCGUAUUAAGCUUGUCAAUAUGAAACUUGAGUCAAAUGGUAGCUUUUGGUGAUGAUGAUGGAGUUGCAAUUUGACAAGUGAUUUUGCAUCUUGCAUUCAAUGUGUAUCUGCAUUUAUAUGAGAAUCUGUGAUUUCCGAUGUGGCAUUUUUCAGCACAUUCUAAUCUUUUUAAUCAUAUUACUAACUUUCUUCUUUGCAACUUCCUGCCUAUUGUCCAUUGUUAAAAAGUUGUCCAUAAAUUGAUCCCUUUGUAGCGUAUUCUUUAUCCUUCCCAAUCCCAUAACUCAUAGCAAUAACAAUUUUGCUUGAAGACAAACAGAAUAUGGCAAAUGAAAAAUUCUAUUAAAUAAGUACAUACAGCUUAAUUGGUACGUAUUUGUAUUCAAAUCCAAGUAAACUACACCCAUCUAAUCAAAACACAAUACCAAGAAGAAAGAUAUUACAGAUCCCAAGAUGUUUCCAAGAGAUGCAAGGACUGGUGGAUAUCAAUCUAUUCACCCAGUUGAUUAAUUGAUUUGCAUGGAAGAUAUGUCGCGGCCGCUUGCUACUAAGAUCUUGUAAAUUUCAAGAACAAGCCUGUUCUCAAUUUCUUCAUUGGAAUAAACAACUUUUUCUCCUUGCCUUGCUUUUGGAAUCCGCUUGCCUCCGAAAACACUUUCGGUAUUCAAAGAACCAACUUUGCCAGCCAAAUUGUUCAUCUUUCGAAUGUAAGCGUUCUUGAAUUUGGUCAACAGCUGUAAAGGUGAAGCUACAAAAAUCUUGAAGCACAGCUUUGGCACCGCUUUGAUCCUCCAACAUCUGCUUGAUGUUGGUGGGCCUUUUAGCCUUACGACUCUCACGUUCCUUUUCCUAGAAUCUUUCAGUUUCUGAUACCCUCUUCUUCUCCAGCAUCUCUUCAGUGAACUAUAGUUUGGCACCAGCUCCAUUUUUGUUCCCUUUUGUGUGUGUGAGAGUUGUUGUAAGAGAGGAGCUAAGAAGAGGGAUUUAUAUACAAAGUUCAUAAGCCUAGCUAGCAAGUAAAUGUGGUCAACAAAAGGCGGCUUGAUUUUUUUAUAUUUAAUUUUUAUGUUUUGAAAAAUUCUUUAUGAAAUGAUUCAGAGCUUCGGUGGCGUGUAGUGACUGUCAUUUGACCGCAAUUCGAUAUUAUUAAUCACGAGAUAAAACCAAUUAUUAAUUAUCAUUCAAACAAGCAGUGAUACAGAGAUAUUUGACCACAGUCCACAGAGCAAACAUAUAGGCCAGGACGGUCAAGACUAGCUUAAGAGUUCAAGAAAAAAACAAAAACAAACAAUACAAAUUAUAUUAAUACUGAACUGAUACUGGUUAUGUGAUUUCAUUGAAGGAUUCCUAGUAAAGGAAACCAAAAAGUUGGAAUUGGAAAUCAAAGAAUGAUCAAAUGCAAAGCAAUAUAAAAUCAACUAAAUUGAAAUGUCCCCACUGAAUUUUGAGACCUUGCAAAUCCCCAGUUGGAAAUUGUUCAUGAUCUCCACGUGCAAUUCUAAAGUUUGGUAAAAGCGGAAGAAAAACGUAACCAUUAGAUUCAGAAGUUGAAAUGUCGCCCGUUGCACAUGAUUCUUGCAAAAGAUAAACAAAGGGAAGUACAGUUUUGGCUCCCUAGAGUUUGGUAGAAGUUGAAUUUAUUGUAUUAUCCCAAAUUUGAUUAAAUUGAUGCUGAAAUCUGAAUUGACAUAUCCCAUCAAUUCUGGAGAAAAUAAACAAAUACCCGCUAACUUUAUGAAGUAUGAUCUCGUAGACUUAAUGACAGCAGCCAUGGCGGUCAAUUUUGGAGCACUAAAAACUUUUGUCGUAAAAGUCAUACCUACUUUUUUUUUUGUUGUUGUUGUUGUUGUUUAGUGCUUAGCGGCAGCUCACCAAGCCACCAACACAGUUUUGACCCAAACAAUUAGGGCGGGUAUACUACUAACUGAACCCCUUCAAGUGACAUGAAAUGUAGGGUUGUCAAAUCUUCAAUCCAACCCAACUUGCGGAAGUUCAGGUUGGGCUUAUCCCAAAGUCUCUCAUAUUUAAUCUGAGUGGAGCUUCUAUACGGUAUACGCCCUUUUAAGUUCUUUUAAAAUCCUAAAGAAAUCCCAUCGUAAUUAUACUUUUUUUUUAAUACCAAAAACACCCUUUUCUUCUUAAACUCCAAUUAGUCUGUUUGUUUGUUUAUUUCAUUUUUCAAUUUUCUCACUUCUAAAAUAAAAUUGGAGUAUUACUUCUAAGGCAAUCUUGUUCUCUACUUUCUAUCCAUAUAAUUUUUUUAAGGUGAUAAGUCUGAUCUAAAAUAAAUAUAUUUAAUCUUUAGUUUAAAAGGAGGCUUUUACCAAGUAUGAAAAUACCUAUUAUGUUUAAAAAAAGUAUGAGAAUAAUGAAUUUGUAAGGAAAAGAAAAGAAACAAAGGUUACUUGAAUAAAUAUUGGAUAGAUGAGGAGUUACAAACUUACAAACAUAAAAAAGAAUACAAAAUAACUUGUUGAUGUAUUGAAAGAGUUUGUAAAUCAGAUAAAUUAUAGAAUGUGUUUUAUUUUUUUUAAGAGUUAGAAGAGAGAGAAAUAAUAGAUGAAUUUAAUUUAAUUAGAAUUAUAUGACUGUCCAUAAAUGCAAUUUCAUAAGGAAACGGAUGUUAUGAGAAUAUUAAAGGGUUGUUCAUUGCAUUACUCUUUUAAGGGUUAGCUUGUUGAACCCAUCAAUUUACUCUCUACACUUACUUUUUAGUUAAGAAUUUUAGUAUAUAAAUAAUUUUUGAAAAAAUUACUUAAUUAAUUAUUUCUUCUCUUUCUCUUCUCAAUUUCUCAUCAAUUCAUUCAAAUAUAUUCUUUUAGCUACAAAUAAUUGAUAUCACUACUAAGAGGUACAAAACCUCCCAUUUAAAAAAUGAAUACCAAUAAAUUUUUAUCAGCCAUGGUAUUUAAUGAAUAUAAAAUUUGAUUUUUACUAAACAUAAAAGCUAUUUAAAAAAAAAAAACUUAUACAUAGAAAGCAUAAAAUAGAGAUCACGAUGUACUAAGAAAGACCAAAAAAUAAAUUAAAAAAAAAAUAAAAUUAAGCGUUUAUAAUCAAAAGCUUAUUGAAAAUUUAAAUAUAUAUGGGCUAAAAUUAUUAUUAUCUACUCUACAAAUAAUCCUAAAAUAUUUCCUCACACUAAUAUUUAAAAAUAUAAAAUAAUAUUCAAUCUUCCAAAAAUUUUUAGACGAGAGAUGAACUAGUAGGCGCUCGAACUCAAGCGCCUCAGGGGCUUCAGUAGAAGAACUCCGUCUCUCACGACGACUCUUCAUUUCUUGGCUCCUCUAGAAAACAAACUGAUUAUUUUGUACAUCAACCCCCCAAAAAAUUACUUACUGUUUCAGUCUUAUCUCUUCUUUUAAACUAUGAAAACUAAACCCAGAAACACUUCCCUCUGGAAUUGGAAUGAAAAAAACAAGAAAAGCAACAACAGAAAGCAAUUCCCAGUUACAGAAUUCCUGCAAGAAUAUUACAGGAAAUUUGAGGAAAAAAUGAUGGGCCCCGGAGUUGGUGUUGGAAUCGGGUGUGGCAUUGGAGCAGGCUUUGGGGUGGCUGGAGGAAUCGGAUAUGGUGGCUGUCUUGAGGUGGUUUUUGGAGUUGGCAUGGGUUGCGGCGUCGGUUUCGGUUUCGGGUACGGGCGAGGCUUUGGACACGGUAUUGGUUUGGAUGGUAGCAAGCCUAAAAUUACUAUUUCAGAUUCUCAAAACAGGUUUGCUAUAGAUUAUUAGUGUAUGAUUUUUGCAUUUCGUCAUUUAUGUACUAUGGUUGCUUUUAGGUAUUUUUUUUGGGCAAUGUGAAACUAGUAUGAGAACAGCUAACAAAUUUAUCACAAUGGCAUUUUCAAUACAGAUGUGAGACAUGAGUGGUGGAAUGUAUUCAUGAAUAUACUACUCUUUUACAUGGAAGUCAUAAAUUCUGAAACUGGGUAAAUCUAAAAAAUCACUAAACAGCCCCUAACUGAAACGAAAGAAUAGUAGUAAAAGUACUCCGAUAACAUUUUCCGAUUUCUCUAAAGCUUUCCUAUUGUUUGAGAAACCCCACCUCAGAAGAAGCCUUUUCACUCUUCUUGGCUGGACUGAUCUUUGAGAAUAUCAUUCGAUUUCUUUGCUUGAGCAGCAUUCCCAUCAUAAACGCCUGAUGACGCGGGAGACAUGGUCAGUGAGGAAUUCCAAUUUAUUUGUCUUUGAAGCGGGGUGAAUGGAAUGGUACCACCAGAUUCACCGCCGCAUUGAAUCUCCAUGAAACUUGAAUCAGAUGGCAGCUUUUGACUAACCUCGUAACCAGGCUGCGAAUUGACGAGUGAUUUUGCAUCAUUUGAAUGGUCAUGAUCUAACUUUCUUGAUGUGGCCUUAUUCUUAAGGUUCUGAUCUCCUUUGAUCAUGUUUAAUUUCCUGUCCGUGGCUUUGAGCUUAUCAUCCAUUGUACUAAGAAUCAUCUUCAGCUGAUCCUCUGAGAAACUGUCCAUACCUUGAUCCCAUGUAGUAAAAUCUCCUACACAGAUUUUCUUGCGAGCCAUCGUAGCUGCAUCAUCAACUUGCCUCGUCUUACUUUCAUCGAAUUUAGCCAAAGAUAACGUUCUCUGCUGACCGUGAUCAACUGCACUAAUUUUCUUCUUGUACUUUCUGAUAAUACUGGUCAAUUGACCUUCCUUUAAGGUCCAGAUCUCCGGCUUCAAAGACUGGCCUUUAACUCCUGGACCAUAGAUGAUGAUGCAUACUUCAACAUCGCACAGAGUUGCGAACUCAUAAGCCUUCUUCAACAAACUGUUCUUUCUCUUUUUAAAGGUUGCCAAGCGAGCUUUCUCAUGCUUUAUUGGCUCCAAUUUAAGUGCUUCACAAGCCAUCACUAAUCCCUGACAAAAUGGAAAUAUUUCUCAGAGAUAUUCAGAAAAAUUAUUCGGGUAAUCACAUCAAAAUCACACUCGAAAUAGUAGGCAUGAUUUUCUAUCUACCCACCCAACAAGGAAACCAAAUCAUUGUAACCAUUCAUUGAAAAUAAAGAAACAAAUCAAUGCAUUAAGACCAUUGGCAGAAGGGAGCUGUAAACCCUUUCAGAGAAAUCUCUUCCGCAAAAUAUUAAUACAAAAUCUUCUUGGUGCAGAGCAAUGCUAGUUUAUGCACUCUAAAAUCGUUGAUAAAUCUUCUAUAAUACAACUAAGGAGCAGCGCAAGUUAGAGAACUUCUAUUAGUUUUAUUUAUUUAUUUGUUUUUUUGAGCAAAGACAAUUCAUUUAAGAGAUGAAUGAUAGCUAUUUGAACUGAUUUACCAAAUAUCAAUUCUAGAGUCAGAAAUUGUACCACAGCCAUACAUAAACUAAAUAAUUGAUCAAAAAUUGUUCAUAAAAUCCAUUCGGUAACAAGCAGUGACAAUCCAAAUUCUUUAAAAGAACUAUCAAAGAGAUUGCAGGUUUAGACAGAUCUCUUCUCUUAAGACCUUGGCUUCCUCUUCUUCUCAUUGAAGAGAGCCAAGAGAGAGAGAGACACCAAAGACCUUCACAACCUUGAACCUGACACCCGGAACGCCACCAACAGCAUGUCCCUUGCGUCCAAAUCCAGCAAUCAACACCUCACCGUAGAAAACUCUUAUGAGGUAUGAAUAAUAGUUUCUUUAAAAAUCAUGAUCAUUUUCUUUAAGGCAUAUCUGACAGGCUAACAGAAAAUCAUAAGCAUAACACAACCACAAUCAAUCAGUUUCGAAACUGCAAUUGUUAACUCUCUAAGAGAAAAUUAAAAAAAAUCAAUGAAAAAACUUCAAUCUAUCAAUUUCAUUCUUCUCAGGGCCCUCAAAAAAGAAAUUGAAAAAAAAGUAAACUAAAGCACAUACCCUAAUAAUAUAUCAACUUCAAAAUCAUAAACAAAAAUAAAAAACCAGAAAAGUUAAAAUCACACGAAAUGUCACACAAAAACUCACCAAAAGAGCUUCUUGGUGCGUCUUUGUUUUGAGUCCCAGUUUCUUUUUGGAAAGGUGGUGGGAGUACGUGUAGAAAGUAUUUAUAGAGAUAAAAAAGAAUCAUUUUUCAAUUAGGAAUCAGAAGCUUACUCAACAAGAUACUUAUUAAAUCAAAUAGGAAACUAGCAAUCAGUUUCCAAAUAUUAUUGAAAUACCUAUUCCUACUUUAAAUUUUAUUGUGAUAACGGGAAACAAAAUCUAACAUCUAUUAAUUAAGGCUACGUCAAGGAUGGUAUCAUUAAUUAGGGGAAAACUUUCCUUUUCUUGAAAAAGAAUAAAGAAAAAACUAUUUGAUUUAUUCAAAAUAAUUUCAAUUUGGAACCAAGCAAUUAACAGCGUAUUAUUCAGAUAAUAAUUUAUAAUAGUGUCAGCCAGUAAAUAUUGAUCUGUUAAUUAUUUUUUAAGUACAUAAAUAGAGAAACUGUAUAUAUGUAUAAUAAACAGUAAACCCUCCAAAAAUUACUGUCAUCCGAAGAAUUAUUUACAAGGGAAUCGAGGAAAAAUGUGCCAGAAGCACAUUAUAUAAUACAUAAUAUUACACUUUCCAGUAUUAUCGCAAGUUUUUUCCAAACUUGACAUUCAUUCAUCAGUUUCCAGGAGCCGAAAUGAAGUAAUAAGAAGUUGUACAAGUAAUGAAAGAUAACCACCCAAUUGACAAAUACUUGACAAAUACUACAUCACUUGAGAUAAAAAAAACUUGAGAUACUAAUUUGAAAGUGAGUACUGUGAAAUAGAUAAAUUAUUAAAGAAAUCAAACCCUGCAAAAGCAGAAAAAAAACCCUUUUUGCACUAUCGUCUCGCAGUUUCUACAUCGUUCACCAAAGAAUUAGAGUCAGAAACAGAUUGUAAACCCAAAAAUCCGUUAUUGUUUCUUUCAUGUUGUUCGUUAACAACCUCAGACAGCAUGGUCUGUGCAGUGUGUGGAUUCACAGGACUACCUUCUUGAAUACUUUCACACUCCCUCAAAAAGCGAAAAUAAGCAUAAGGUCCCCAACCUAAAAACACAGAAGUGCCCUUUCAAUUACAAAAGAAACUGAAAAAAAAAAUCAAGGUAAUCUAUUUUAACCAGUAUGAUUAUGAUAAGGGCAUUGAGAUAUGAGCUGACAUGCCUGCUUCAAACGGGAAAUUCAGGAUCCCCAAUAUCUUUUAGGAAGUCGGGAAGGGGAAGGCUUAUGUGGACAUCUCACGAUGUGUUAAGUGUCAACAUGCGAUUCAAACUACCCCGCAUGAAAACAUUUUCUUUGCGCAAGGUCCAAUGCAACCAAUAAGCAUAUCCCCAUUAUGGGUGUGUUUGGGAGUGAGGUGCUUUAGUUUUUAAGCUGCAGCUGCUGUGUAGUAAAAGUCAUAGUUGUAGAGUAAAAGUCCUAACUUUUAAACUGCUUAGCUAUCAAAUUCCAACUAUAAGGUGUAACCAAACACCUUGGCAGCUGGGCUUUGGCAGCCUAACUGUCUCACAUCACUCUCAAACGCACUCUAUGUAAGAUUGAGAUUAUAAGCAUCCAUUAUUAAAUGGAAAUGGAGUAUGGCAAUGCAAGUCUGGGUAACAGUAUCCACAUCCUAACUGACAACCAAGAAGCUCUAGUAACAUAUCAUGCCACUUAGAUAAAGAUAUGGAUGCCCUAAAACAAUAGUUGGAAAGUAUAGGGUAAACUAAGUGAUGUAGUCAGCCUAUUUCUACGAAAAUUCUUCCUUGACUUUAAGCUCCUAGGCAGUUCCAACAAUGUGGAAUGUUCACCUACCAUUUCCAGAUUUUACCUUAUCAAAACCAAGGGAAUCAUUUCAAAUACUUGGACCGUACCUUCAGCAUGAUAUGGCGGUGGGAAGAACUGCAAAUAGCAAAAUGUAGCCACUACGAGUCCUGGAAUUUUUUUUUUUUUUAAGUCAACGAAUUUAUGCAUCAGAUGGACAGCCAGUCUAUCAAUUUCCACUAAUAUUAGUAAAUAUAUGGCACACACCAAGCAAACCUCCAGCAAAGACAUCCUGCCAGUGGUGCCAGUAGUCAUCAACUCGAGAAAUGCCAACAAGAGAUGCAAAAAGUAGAGGAAGAAAGACAAGGCACAAUUUUGCAACAUGGCCUCUUCGGUCAAAUGCUUUUAUUUUUCCAGAUAUGUACAGUGAUAGGAAACCCAAACCAGCAAAUGACCCUGAAAAACAAAUCCAAUUAUUCCAUAAAGAUAACAAGUCUAUCAAACAAUUGACAUAACUCUGGUAUUUGAGUUGAUCUGAUUUAUUUCUUUAUCUUCUACUAUUAAAAUUCCCUUAAAUUUGUUUGAGAUAUAAUAGCUUCUUUACCCUUUCACAUAAGAUAAACAUCUCUUAGCCAUAAAGAAUUAAUGAACUUACAUGAAGUAUGUCCGCUUGGAAAGCUCUUAUGCCCUUCAUUUACAACAUGUUUAUCACCAUGACAUACAACAUUAUUGAAUUGAUCGUAUACCUAACAUGCAAAGAGUUGUUAAAUGAAAAACUUCAACAAUAUGACAUGACAUGAAGCACCAGCAAAAAGCUUAUCACACAAAAGCAGGAAUCAGAUAAUUGCACAAUGCGCGAAGCAUACAGCUAUUCCAUCAGGAAAGCAACGCCAAAAGAAGUUCGGUCUGGGCCGACCGACUGCUAUUUUUAUUGCAUCCGUAAGAACUCCAGUCACUAGAACAGAGUAUAAGAGGCCUGCCCCAGCAAAAAAAGUUUCCGUCAUCAGGUCAGCAUGUUAUGAUAUCUGCUACAGCUGUCCUAUAAGGGGAAAAAAAAAAAUUAAAGAAGAAACUCUGAAGUAGCCAAAAAAGGUUAUCACCUAAUAUGGCAUGAUGAAGAUCGUAUACAUCCCUCCUAUGGUAGUAGACAAUAAGAAAUAUUAUAACAGGCACCAGAACUGCAUACAGCUAAUGAGACACAAAAGAAGGAAAAAAGGCCAUUAUUAUCAAAAAGUAAACUCAUAAAACUACUUCCUUUAACAAUUAAUAAAGGCACAGCCCAUAGGGAACCAACCGGGACAGCCCACACAGGUACUGUAUUAUUUUUGAAGGGGUAUUUAAGAUCAGUCAUCAUAUCUUUGCCAACAAAGCGAUAGAAUGGAUCGAUGGCAUUGAGGAUGAUAUCCAUCACAACAAGAAACAAAAAUAUCAGCCAAUCAUGCAUGUGUUUCCUUGCCACUACAACUCCAUGGGACCUCAAAGUGUGUGAACCAAACUGCACAUCCAUCGUUCUGCACUGCUUGAAAUAUUUAUGGCCAAAAUGAAAUUCAGAGUAAUUAGAAAAGCUUGUAUUCAGUGAUAGAAAAAUUUGGAAGAAUACAUGACUGGUGCAAUCCAGCUAUUCUGAUUGUAUCUUUCUUUAAAUCGAUUCUCCCUAUAAUUUAACUUUUUAUAGUUUCAUCAGUUGUCCAAUUAGAUGCAAAAGUGAGUCUUUGUGAAAACAUUAAAAGUGUGUGCUCUCUUUUUAAUAUCUUCUUAUGCAAAGGUUGCCUGGUUAUGCCAUCUUAUGUUCAAUCUUCUUUUUACUUUUUCAAACUACCAAAAAGUAUUAAGUAAUCCUAAAACACCUUGUAUCUAGCAAACUUAUUCAGAUAUCUAUAUGACACAUUACCCUGUGACACAAACAAAAAUCAAAUUGAAGGCCUUUAACUCGUUAAAAACAAAAAUAUAGAAGAAAACCAGUACCUCUUCGUUCCAAUGUUCUAUCAGUAGAGAUUCAGCUCCAGAAAACCAAUCAUUACUAAUUGUAGAAAUGGGCAGCCUCCGGCAUAGAUCAUCCUAGAAAAUCACCCACAAAGAUGAGGUUAACAUCACAAUUCAUUUUCAACAUAAAGCAAUGUGUUCAUAACCCUUUGGAUGAAUUUAGAUAUAUAAUCUUUUUAACUAAAUUGGAAAUAACAAUCAUCAACAUCUGAUAUCUAAUUCAUCUCAAAUGCACUCUCAGUGGCAAAAUCGAUACUCAAAACCAGAAAAGGUACUCACAAGAAGAAAAAAACAAUACCCACAACAAAAAUAUCUAUCUUUCAUAUUUUCUCUAAUAUGAUACAAAUUCCAACAAAAUAACAUCUGAAAAACCUGAAAAUGGAGAACCGCUGACCUGAAAGAUGCCAGGCAAAUUUCUAACACAAGAAAGAGAACGCAAAUCCCACCAAGGCAUUGUAUGAAUCAAUCAAAAAAACAAUAAAUAAUAACAAUUAUGCAAGCAAUAUCCAAGCUUAUUGACAUCAAAAUAAAUCCCAGAAAGUUGCUGAAUGCUGAUAGGAAGUUUCUUGUUGUUUGGCUUCACACCAUAUUAAUAUAAAAAAGAGUUGAAUCCAAACAAGUUUUACUGCGGAAGUUUAAAUUUCUUUAUCGACAAAGAGACAAAUGUGGCAUUUUGGAAGCGCUUUUGCGAAAAGUCGUUUUCAGAAAAGCGCUUCCUGGAGAAGCAGUUAUGUUAUAGAUUUGAAAUUGACUUGGAGUGUAUGUUUCCAGACAAUAAAGUAAAAAAAUUUAAACUUUUUUUUUUUAAACCUAAGACAAGCUUUCAAGAAGUCUCACGUCCAAACACGUCCUAAAGCAUAUACAUAAACUGAAAAAAAAAAAAGAAAAAAAGAAAAACAAAGAUACAGGAAAACAGAUUCUGUAAAAUUACCGGAAGCUAAUUCCGGUGGGGUUUUCGGCUUUGCAGUUGAACCAAAAAGGCGAUGCCAACGUUCUGAGACCCAUUUUAUACUUGCAAAAACGAAAGAUUCAGAGAGGGCUAGGCUCUGAGUUAUGCUCUGUCGUUUUAACCGCCUUGAUUUGAAAUCGUCAAGAUGAAACCUCAGUGUCAGCGAGGUUAAUAUUGCAAUUCAUAAUUCUGAUUUACUAUUUUUAACCUUAUGAAAAACAUGUUAAAUGUAACCCAUCCAAUUUUUUUUUGAUACACUUAUAUAUUACAAUCGAUAUUUAUAAUUAAAAAUUUAUUAAGAUUUAUCUGAAUAAUUUUAUUGCAGUACAAUUCGAAUAUUAAUUUUAAAAAAAAUUUGUCUUCACUAAUUAAUCAUAUCCUAAUAUAGGGAGCCAAUUAACUCCUAUUUUAUAAAGAGAUAAGUCCCAAUAAUAACUCACUGGACUUGAACCCAUGCCCUCAAGAUUGUUGAGGACAUAGGCACACCAAUGGGCUACAAGCCCAUUGGCUUGUAACCCAUCCAAAAUUGAAAAUUGAAUCUAAUGAGUCAAAUGUGAAUUGAAUUGUAAUUUUUUUAAUUUUUGAUAUUUAAUUAAUUUUGUGUCUAUUGCCCACAAAUUGUAUUUUAAUUUUGAACUGAAAGAAAACUGGAAAUUAACUCAUUCGACGCCUUAAUUUUAAAGAGCGAUAAUUAAAAUAAAUAUAAAAAUCUGACUGUAAAAUAAAAUAAAAAUAAGUGUUGACUUCACGAGUAUUACGGUCAGAUUGAUGUUCACAUGCAGCAAAAGCUUGUCCUACAAAAAGCCCAAACCGUAUAAAUACCGGUCCCACCGAUAAUUAAUAUUCUUACACGUAAGCGUGUGCAUCCAUUCGCCCAAAUCCAACGAUGAUGACGUGGUAAUUUCCCACGCAUCUUCCUGCCACGUGUGACUCGCAUCUCAAAAACACCCCAUUAAAGCAAUUAAGCAAAAGCUUCCAGCUUUACUCACCGCCGCAAUAUUAAAAGGAUAUAAUUCAAGGCUUCAGGCCUUCAGUUACAGUAAAAGUGAAGCCUCUACAGGAAAGAAUCAUCUUGGAUCUGGCAUCUGCCGCCGCAGCAGCAGCAGCAGCAAUGGAGCCUCCGUCGCCGGUGUCUCAGCCAACAGGCGGCAAGAUCCGGUUGAUGUGCAGCUACGGCGGCCACAUCGUCCCUUUACCCCACAAGAAAUCUCUUUUCUACUCCGGCGGUGACACGCGCAUUAUCACCUUCCCCGCCGCCAGCACCGCGUCGCUUUCCGCAUUUUCAGCCCAUAUGGCAGCUGCCCUUCACGUCAGCAAUCCUUUCAAUCUCAAGUACCAGCUCCCUCUCCACGACCUCGACUCUCUCAUCUCUCUUUCUUCCGAUGACGAUUUGCAAAUUUUCCUCGAAGAGUUCCAUCGCCCUUCCCCUGCGCCCGCCCGCAUCAGAUUAUUCCUCUUUUUUAGUAAACAACCACUCGGGUAUUCUACGAGUCAGCCCGUGUCCUCAUUGAAGACGACUCAGUGCGGGUUGACUCAUCCCAAGACGGAGAGUUGGUUUGUGGAUGCUUUGAAGAGUGCGAAGAUGAUGCAGAAAGGAGAGAUGGUUGGAUUUUGUGGGGACGGUCAAAGUGACGGUCAAAGUGGUGGGCUUUGUGGGCAAGAGUCUAUGAUGUUGGAAACGACGUCGUCAUUUGGUUCUUCUUCGUCUUCGGUUUCGUUCUCAAAUUUGCCACCUAUCAUGGCUUCUGGUGAUGAAAAUGUGAGUGCUUUGCAGGAAAACAGGACCAAGUUGCCUUCAGCUGAUUCCACCGCAAGGUAUUGAUGUUAUUUUUCUUUCUCUUGUUUUCGUUCAUUUCAUUGUGUUUAAUUUGUUGUUUUAUCUCAACUUGGAUGACUAAAUAAGAUUUACUUGGUGACUAUAGUUUUGAGCGUGGUAAAUGGUUCAUUUGUUUUCAUAUGGUCUGUCUCUUGAAUCAAAUAGAGGGGGGAAAAAGUGCAAUUCCUUUUGUGUAAUGUUUUUAGAGUUUUGAAUCGCAUAAUUGAUUGCAUAAUUUCUUUGGCCAGUGAUAUUAGUAGUGUGGCAAGUGCCAUUUCCCACAGACAGACUGGAUGUUACCAAGACCCAACUGUUCAUGUUACUGCAUUGGAAAAUAAGUCUUCUUUGAAUCCUUUUGAAUCACCAGAUAUUACUGCCUCGGAGGUGCGGACUCAUAAAGCAGUUCAGGUUUCUGGCUAUCCGUUAUCUUCACAGUUGGAUCAGCUGCAGCGACAACAAGUGCAAUUUGUACACAUGGACACCCAUUUUGUACAUCAGAACCCUGCCGGUGCUUUUCCUACUGCACCUUACUACCCGGUGUACAAUACACCUCCACAUCAGCCACAGCCACAGCCACACUAUCUGCCAAAUCAAGCAUACCCAGUGUAUCUUGUGUCAGUUGGGCAGAGCCAAAUUUAUGAUUCAUCCACUCAAUAUGGCUGCAAAGACUCUCUGCCAGUUGUAACUGGUCGGCCUCCAUUGCAUCCAAAUUCUACGUUGAUCUCUUCCCAAGUAACUUAUAAGGAGGCUACACCUGCUCCACCAAUACCUGAGUUCGUCUCACAAGCUUAUAGAACAACCCCAGUGGCAAAUUCACUUGUCCAUGUAGCAUAUAAUGAAAAUAAGCAACAGAAUAUGACUGUCCCGCAAAUGCAUAAUCAACCUCAGCUAUUUGGUGUUGCUCCACGAGAAACUGCUAACUAUGGCAAUGAACAUGAUGAUGACUCUGUCCGGGCCCAAAUAUACAAAUCUCAACCGCCACCGCCCACAUUGCCUUCUCAAUACCAGACCAUGACGCAAGCUACAACGGUGUUACUUUCAGAGGCUUCAGCACAGCUACAUAUGGACAACAUAAAGCAGCAGGUUAGAGCCUCACAGCCACAAUGAUUCUGCAGUUCAUAAAGAGACAAUUUUGGUUGUGGGGUCAUGGUACCUUCAAUACCUUUUUCUUGGUUUCUCAUUUGGGAGGUUGCAGGGGUUGUCUGCCCUAUAUAAGCAGAAAAUUUAGCUGCUGCCUUCUUUUUCUUUGUUGUCUUUCACUGUUUUAUUUUCCUGCUGUUGUUUGCUUUGUUUGCUUUAAGUGUUUUGACAUUAUAUACUGAAAGUUCAAUAAAAAUGUGUGUUUCAAGCAUCAGUUUCUAAGUUUAUAUCUGAUAUAUGCAUGCUACAACUGCUGUGAUAGCUCUCGUGAUGGCUGAUGGUUAAGGUUUGGGUGUUUAUAAAAGAUCCAACAGCAUGUUGCAUGCCACUGCACUUUGUUAUUUUCCAAUCAUACUUUAUUUCUGUUUCUCCUCCUAUGAAUGUUUCGAAUCUAGAUUGCUUAAACAUUGACUUUAUUGUCUUUUUCUUUUUCUUUUUCUUUUUUUUUCCCUCGUGUGAAUCAAGCGGAACCAAGUUUGAUGAGGAAUUUGAUCAGAACAGAAGUGUUUAUAUUUGAUGGCGCCAUAUCUGGAGGGCUUGCAAACUCCACAUGAUAAGAAUAGCCCGGUGGUAAAUAUUUGUUUCAUUUGCUUCAGCUCUUCUUAGGAUGAGAUUAUUCAGUUUUAGUUUAUCCCAGUGCUACUUAAUUUUGUAAUUUUUAAGGCUUCUGUUCUCCUUUCUUGUGGCUGCUGGGAUUUUCUCAAGAAAACUUACCUUUUCAAGACAGUUAUAGUCUAUCAUAGGCCUAAUGCAAGUCCCUGUGAGUGUUAUUACAGCCAUUAUGCAAUUGGCUUCUUCUAGGUUCCUACAGUAUGUAUGCAUCAUUCAUAUGAGAAAGUGACCACCAUUUUGGAAGCAGAAUAUAUUAAAAUUAAUAAAAGUUGGAAGGGGGAGUCUGGUGCAAUACAGUGGAGGGAUACAUUUUACAUAAGUGUAGCUAGCUUAGAACAUUUAAAACUUUGACUAAGAAAAAUUUAACUAUGUACUGUACUAAUGACGACCGCAGCCGGUUUACUGGAACAGGCUUAACUUCUUUGGUAACUUAAUGUGCUGAUGCACCAUCCCUUAUUUGCUUGUUCCGCUUCUUUCUCAUUGAUCAAAUUUGGGUUCUUCACCUUUCAUGAACUGUUGUUCAGUGGAAAUGUUCACUCUGUCUAAACUAUCACAGACAUGUCUCAUAGAAGGUCUCUUAUCGGGGCUCUUAUGGACGCAGUCAAGGGCGAUUUUCAGCACAGAAACUAUCUCAUCUUCCUUGUCUAGAUCAUGAGCCAAGAAUGGAUCCAAGAUAUCUGUCAUUGGCUUUCUAUCCUCAAGGAUGAGCUGUAUCCAUUGAACUAUGUUCAGUUCCAUUGAACCUAUCUGAAUCAUUGGCAACUUACCAGAAAUCAUCUCUAGUAAAAUCACUCCAUAUGAGUAUAUAUCCCAUUUCUGUGUUGGCUUUCUGACUUUUGAGGCUUCUGGAGCUUGAUAAUAUGACCUGCUGGUGGUUGAAUUUAAGGCUGUAAACUCAUACGGAGAACUCUGUAGUGGUGUUCCAGUCGUGGAUUGUUCCCAGUGGACUUCUGGUGUUUCUUCAGCUAUAUCAGCGAGGCGUGCAAGUCCAAAAUCAGAAAUGUGGGGCUCCAUGUUCUUUCCAAGCAGGAUAUUACUAGGCCUCAGAUCUCCAUGGACGUAUCUUUUGGGACUGACUUCAUGUAGGAAAGCUAUGCCUUUUGCAACUCCUUUUAUGAUUCUCAGACGAUCAGACCAAGAAAGAGGUCUAUAGGAUAUGAUUCCAGGCUUUCCUGAUCAGUUUUUAAGAAUCAGAACUGUUAAUGAAAUCAACAUUGAUAAUAUAUUUGGAAUGGAGGAUUUUGAAGAGGAAAACAGAUAAGAGGAAGUAAAGGCGAUAGGAUCAACUAUUAAGCUGACAUUGCUAAAUCUUUAGGAGGCAAAUAUUACCAUGAAUUGCUGUGGCAAGGCUGCCAUUGGGUAUGUAAUCAUAGAUUAGCAGCUUCUCAUCAACAGACCAGAAAUAAGCUCGGAGACUAACUAUAUUUGGAUGUCUGAUCUUUCCAAUUGCUUCUGCUUCAGUUUGGAACUCUUUGAACCUUUGCCAACCUCCAUUUCCCAAUCUUCUCACUGCCACGGCUUCUUCAUUGUUGAGAGCAACUUUAUACACUAUCCCAAUUGUACUCUUACCAAGAAGAAAAGCUGAUGCUUUUAGCAGCUGCUCGAGAUCAAAAUCAACCUGCGAGUCUAGUGGCACAAAUUCGUACUGCUCCAUAUUUUCUGACAUGGUAUCCAAGUUAUUUCUGGUGAAGCAGAAAAAUUCCUUUUUAAUCAUCAAUUUUUCUUCAAGACGGCAGCCACCAACUUUUUCACCCCACUUGCAACCAGAAGCCUUCUUGUACUGGCGGUAAAACAAGAACCCAGUUAUGCAGAUUCCCAGCAGCACGGCAACAGCAACAGUUGUAAUAACUGCACAUGAGUGAUGGACUUUGCCUCCAUGCCAAGAUGGGUCAUAAGGUAAUGGCUUAGGAUAUGGAUGAUCUGAAGUGCUUGAAGGACAUGAGACUUUCAGUGGAGGGCCGCAGAGGAAAGGGUUGCCAAUGAAAGCAGUUGGUCCUAAACUCAGUAGAGCUGCAUUUUGGGGAAUGGGACCACUAAGAUUGUUGUAGGUGAGAUCUACAUAAACUCUUUGUGCAAGGCUUCCCAAGCUUUCUGGAACAGAACCAUUGAAGAGAUUGUGAGACAAAGCAAGAACACGUCUCAGUCUUGAUAAGUUGGCAAUGUCAUUGGGGAUCAAACCACUUAGGUUGUUGAAGGAAAGGUCGAGUUUCUGAAGGGCAGUUAAAUUGGUUGCGAAACCAUCUGGAAGAGGGCCUGUGAAGCUGUUUUGAUUCAGGACGACUGUCUUGAGUCUCUUGCAUUGGACUAUUGAAGAAGGGAUUGAGCUACUGAAUGAAUUCUGCGAUAGAUCCAAAACUUGUAGGUACUUGAGCUUACCUAUCUGCAUUGGAACUGGCCCAGAAAAUGAAUUUCCUGAAAGGAUCAAGCUUUGUAGAUUGGAUGCAUUGAAGAGCUCGACUGGCAAACUUCCAGAGAAGUUGUUGUUCCUGAGGUUAACACGGCAAAUUGCAGAGAGACUUCCCAGAUCAGCAGGUAUGAACCCUGUGAGUUUCUUGUUUGGAAUGAUAAGGGAAAAGACCUGUCCUUCUCUGCAUGUAAUUCCAUUCCAUGAACAUGGGUCUUCGUUUGAGUUGUUCCAGUUGUUGCCUUCUGGGAAGUUUCUUAUGGCUUGUUUGAAGGACAGAAGAGCCAGUCCUUCAUCAUUUGCAGAACCCAUGAGAGCAAUAUAGCUGAGUAUCAGGAAAACCAAAGAAACUGAUGGUAAUAAAAACAUCUCUACAAAAGCAGCGUAAGUGAAUUCAAAGCUAAAAAAAGGCUUCUGUUUGGAUCGGGUUUUGUUCUGAGCAAUCUUAGAAAAGCAGAAGCUAGCAAUGACUAGGUUUGUAAUGCUUCUCUCUGCUAGGCAACUUUAUAUGAAAGCAGCAGUUUGUUAGUUGAGAGUGUUGACUGCGCAAUCACAGCUCAUGGAAAGUGCAAUGCCACUUUGAGGCCACAGGAUUGAACCGUCUUACUGAACUAUAUAGGCCAAUGAUACUUUUGUUGAAAAAUCGAGUACUUAAGACUGGAAGGAUCUACUUUAUUAGCAUCAUAGUUCCUUGUAUUAAACGCAAAUUCAAGUUGAAAUACUUGUUUGCCAUGACCUCUGUCUUCUGUCCGUAAACAAAAUAAUCACAAUCGAAGAUUAAUUGUUUUAUUUUACUAUUCUGUGCCAGCAAUCAUGAAGUGCUUGACAUGCCGAGUACAAGGUUUCAAAAUUUGAAGUUCAAACGUGAUUGGAGGCGGUGAUUGCUGCACAAAGAGGGCACUGAAAGAGCAACAAACACUUGUAUAGUAGGGACGGCUAAUUUGACAACCACUAAUGAAUCCAAAGUCCAAGAAAUCAACGAAUUGACUAUUCAUCUGCGUAGGGAUGGUAAAAUCCUCCACGGGUUUGGGGCCCCAUGGAGCCCCACCCCAAAUGGGGAAAUUUUUUAAUAAUUUUUGGGGAAUGGGGUGGGGAGUGGGGGAAAAAUAAUCCCCAAAUUGUUAACGGGGUGGGGUUUGGUAUUGCACUCCCCACCCCACUCCCACCCCAAUCCCCAUUAUAUAUAAAUAUGUUUUUAAUUCUUAUUUAAUAAUUUGUAUUUUAUCAACUAUAAUGUCAAUUAAUAAUUUUUUUUAAUUUUUAUGUAAUAUAAAUAGAAUAUGAAUAAAAGAAAAUUCUACAAUAUUUUUCAACUUUAAAACAUUAAUAUAUUUUCUUUUCUCUUUUAAGGUGCUGCUUUCUUUAAAUAUUUUUCACUUUUAAUAUCAUUUUAAGAUAUUGUUUCAAAUUUUUAGAGAUUUUUUUUAAAAAUUAAAUACUUUAUAAUAUUGUGAUGAUUUUAUCUUAAGUCUCUAAUUUUUAAUUUACUGAAAUUAUAUUUUUAUAUCUACUAUAAAAUAUGUAAAUGAGGAAUGGGGUGGGGAUGGGGGAAUCAUUCCCCACGUGGGGAUUCCCCAUCCCCAACCCACUAAAUUUAUUGGGGAAUGGGGUGGGGAAUGGAGGCAAAAAUUUUUAAUGGGGUGGGGAAUGGGGUAGGCAUCCCCACCCCCACCCCGCCCCAUUGCCAUCCCUACAUCUGCGCAACAUUAUAGUGCCUCCACGCUCUUAAAACUCAAAAGUUAAAAGUAGUCCCUAAUUUUAAUGACCAUUGGCUCUUUCUUUUGGGUUCCUUUCCACUGGGUGUAAACUUACAUAGUUACAUAUUUUAUUGUGCGCGUCUUUGGUAUUUAAUACAUAGGGUACGUUACAAUUAUAGAACAAAAAAACAGUUUAUGUUCUGAUAUAAAAAACAGUAAACAGUAAAUAUUACAAGCUCAAAUUAGCUAUGGAAUUGGUGAUACGUGGAAAUAGUGUUCAACUUUUCACAUGGGUUUAGUUGAAAAGUGUGUAUGAAUAUGAUGAUUGAGUUCUUAUUAGGUUUUAUAAUCAUGAUCUUUACGUCCUAUAAAUGCACAGAAAAAAAAUUAUUUACGCCAUAAUUGUUUGACUUUAUUUACACGAUUAGAGCUGGCAAAAUUUGACAUAAUCUAAUUAUUUGACACAAAAAUAAAAUAAAUAAAUAGAUAUAGGUCGUCAAAUGUGACACUAUUAUUAAAUGGUCGGAUUCAAACAAAACAAUUUUUUUUCUUAUUAGAUUAUGGUUAAAAUUCUUGAUCCAUUUACUCAAUCAAUGACACAAUUAUAUUUUUUUUAUUAUAAAUUAAUUUAUAGGUUCUUGUCAUCAAAACUCCAAUAUCAAAUAUGAUUCUCCCUUUUAAUUUUUUAUUUUGUAAGGAUGAACAUAUAUGCAGUGUUUCAUUUAUAAAAUUUUAUUUAAAAUUAAAAUUUAAUAGUAUAAAUGUGUAAAAAAAUUAGUAGAUAUGUAUAUUUUAUAAUAUCGAUAGAUAGUGUUAUUCACAUUUAUAUAAUUAAAUUUCAAUUGUGUAAAUGUAUAUUUUUUUGAUAGAUAUGUAUAUUUUAUAAUAUUGAUAAAUUAUAUAUGUGUGUGUAUGUGUCUAUGCACGCACGCAUGUUUAAUAUAAAUUUUGCUAAAUAGAUAGAUAUUAAGCUGGUUAUUAAGUAAUCUGUUUAUUUUCUGUGUCGGGUUAAGUUCUUAAUAUUUAGACGCAAUUAUUAAAUGGGUUAUGUUGGGAUCAACCUAAAUUUAACAAGAGACGAAGCUGACAUGGUAAAACAUGACUCAUUGACCCGUUUUGCUAGCUCUAAAUACAAUGAGGAACAAAAGGAUUCAACGUAAAGCAAGAAGCUCAUCACCAGGCUAAACAAAGGCGAACAUAUCAAAGACCUUCAAUAGAUAAUAAGAUCAUUGCAUUCCUUAUUCAUUUUCACGACUGUCUCAACCCAUAAUCACAUUUGUGAAUGAGCGCAAAACUCAACUCUUAAUUAUUGUACAUGAAUGCCUCACCAUUCUUUGACAGAAGCUAGAAUUUCUACUUUUAAAUUGUUAUCAGGAGAUCAUCAACUUGCUCCGAGCUACCAAAGCAUUAAUUUUUCAUGAAAUCUCUAAGAUGAGACAGUCCUAUUGUCAGCAUAUGACUAUCAAAUCAUAUGUUAUUAUAGUUUUGUAUUAAGUAAUAAUCAUGAUAUAUGAUUUGAUGGCCGUAUGAUGACAUGAUGGACACAUUCUCACCUAAGAGUUCCCUCACAAACUAGGAUUGCUCAUUGAAACAAGUGUGAAUUCCUAUAUUGGAUAUUCAAUCAGCUUAUAGAUCCUAGUCAAUUUUCUUGCCACUGAAUAAUUUGGUGAAAUUUGGUAUCACCUUUGUUUUCUUCUUGAUAGUGAAGGAGGUUGUUCCAGUCAUCCCAGUUGCAGGGGAAGCAGAUUUUCGAGACUUUGGUCUUCUUGAUGGAGUCAGAUUGUCACUGCCUCUCCUGGAUUUUCUAGCCAACCCCGGCUGCAAGCUUUCUGGUUCUGCUGUUCUUUCAGAAUUCUGUCUCCAGUUCCUCAAUUCUCUCUCAACUCUUCUCUUUGUGGAAUGUGUCCUCUCGCUUUUAAACACUUCCUUCUCUUCUUCCACCCUUGUGUCUCUGAUUUCCCUGUGAGCCAUUUCCAUCUUCAUUAGUAUUUCCUUUUCACUUGCCUUUAAAGCUUCAAUCCAUGCCUGAGCUGCAGCUACCUUCUUAUCAGCAAGCUCUUCAGCCCCGACUGCACGCCCUCUUAAAUACUCAUAUUCAAAAUUUGAAAUGGUGAUCGAAGAACUAUUUUGUGAUGCAGAUGCUCUAGCUUGCAUGGUCUUCUCAAUGAGAGAUUUCAGAUUAUCAAAAGCUAAAGCUUCUGAUGAUUUGACUGCAUUGAGCUCUUGCAUUGAAGUUUCUAUCUUUUCCUCAGCUGAAUAAAUUUCAGCCUCAGUUUUCUGAAUUUCUUCUUUGAUCUUUGCAGUUUCUUCAGUAACAAGUUCCUUCUCUUUCUUUGCAGCCUCCGCCUCUGUCUUUAACUGUUCAAGAGUGAGAGCUAGAUUGCCUGCUAUUCCAUUAGCCUUUUCCUCAGCUGCAGAUACAGCUUCCAACUUGGCUUUUGCUCUAAGCAGCUUUGAAUUGAGAUUUUGAACAGUUAAUUCUGUCUUCUCUUCUCCUUUCUUUAACCGAGCUGUCUCUUCUCUGACAUGCCUCAGCUCAUUUCUGAUGACAUCCAUUGAAGCCAUGAAUCGAAAACCUUCUUCUUUGAUUGCAGCCAACUCUUUCUUUGCUGCCUCUAAUUCUUCUUUUACAGACUUAGACGGCAACAAAGGCGAUCCUUCCAAUUCUUCCCCACUUUGAUAAAUGCUGUGUGUACCCUUCAAGCUGUCAUUUCCUUGGACCAACUUGUCCUUAUCUUUAACACUCUUUAGCUCAUUGUGCAAAAAAUUAACAUCAUAUAAUGUGACUGCCAGUUUGUUUUCAAGCUCUUUACAGUGAUCAAUCUCUUCAGUCAGGUCUUUCAACUUCUCCUUUGCCACCUCCAUUGAAGCUGAAAAUUCAUUGGCUUCUUUUUCUCUCUCAGCUUCAAUCUCUCCAUACUCCUUCAAGGCCUCAAUUCUUGCCAGCUCAACCAACACUUGUUCUUCAUUCACUUCCUCAAUCUCCUUCCUAAGUCCCUCCACGGAACUUGAAUUAGACCUCAUUUUCAAACUUGAAGCCUCAAUCUCCUUCUCUGCCCGUGAUUUCUCUUCCAAAACAGAUGCCAUAUUAAGCUUAAGCUUACUCAAUUCUUGCUUCACACUCUCCAAUUCCCUCAUCACUUCAGCAUACCGAUGACUCUCCCUACUCCUCUCCGCCAACACAUUUUCUUCAAUCCCACUUGAUUUCUCCAACCUUUCAACGUAUCUCAUACUUGGAAUCGCUUGAUGGUUCGUGUCCUCAAUCCGGCAAGCAAGAUCUUUCACCGUCUUCCUUGCAGUAGAGAGCUCAGAUUCUGCUUGUGCUUUUACUGACUCUGCAGCUUUUCUACUCUCUUUGUACCUACUAAUAUCCCUUCUAGCCAUGUGAAGUUCUCUAGCUCUCGAAGAUGAACUCUUAAAAAUUAAAAAAAGAAAAACAUAUGCAGAAAUUAAUCAACAGAAUCACAAAUGGGUUAUAUUGAAUUUUUUUUUUUUCAAAAAAAGGAAAAAGUGCUAUUGAAUAAUUAAUUAUACCUCAGGGAUAUCUAAAUGGGAUUUCUUCACAGAAGGACUACCUCCAUACAUAUUACCAGCUGCUUUGACUGACCCAGUUCUUCUUUGAUAAUCAAAUUCUCCACUAUCCAUACCAAACCUGUUUCCACACUCAAGAAAUAAGAGCAGAAUCUAAAUAUGCUCCGGCAUGACAACAAUACAUGGUUACACACCUACAAAUGUAAUAAUAAUUCAACUAUAUGUCAAAUGCAUGCAGUUUCAAUAGACAGGACUUUAAAAAAUAGCUAGAAAAGCAGCAAGAAAUUAAGAGACAUACCAAGAACUUGUUAAUUUCUCUGAUUAUAAAUGAAUGGUGGUCUUGAAGGUGAAGAUGGAUGAGUGUGAUAUACGUUUUGCGUUGUAAGCUGUGCCCAGAGAGAUCGUUAAGUCCAAUUCUUGGAAGUGAUAGUACAUUGAGAAUACAGGAAUGACAACAAGAAGCAAGAGCACAGAUAGCUGGUGAUGAUUGGUUCACAACUUCACAUAUUGGUGGUAUCGCCAACAGUUCAAAUAUUUCCUUUUCGACACCGGCCGGUUAAUUAAUUAAUUAAUUAAUAUUUUUGAAUAUUCUUUCGACCAUACAGUUAAAUUUUACCGGGCUCUCCUCAAGAAUCCAGGAUUACCACGUCUUUCUUUCUUUGCCUUCUAAAAAAGGAAAAUAGAAUUGUUUGAAAUGUGUAUGCAAUCUUGCACUUUUUCAAUUAACAUUAUAACAUGUGUGUCAAAGUAAAAUCAUAUAUUUAAAAAUUAAAAAAAAAAGGAAGAAAAAGUUAAUCAGACACAUAAUAUGGCAGCGAGUUAUGUUGUUUCGUUUGAGCGAUAACCUGAAUUUUGCUAUUUAAAUUUUUUUAAAGGAAUAGGGAUAAUUUUGAUGGUAGAAAGACCGAAGACACUGCUGGUAAAUGGUAAUGAUAAAUCCUAAUUAUGCCGAGAAAGACCUUUUUGUCACUUCUGGGAAAAACGACAGCAUUUUCUGUGUUUGGAUAAUGGUAUUGGCAGCAUGAAAUUUGACGCCAUCUACGACAUCAAAGGCCAGUCAGCAGCCACGUAUUCAAAUGCUGUUCCACAAUCCACACGAACAGCAGCUGCGGAGCCGCGGAGCCAAAGCCACUUCAUUUAGAAAUAUUAUGAGCGAAAGGGUAUUUAUUGUGCGAGUUUUUGUGGAUUACGAGUCAUUAUCAAUACUAUUUAAAAUAUAAUUAUCGUAAACUUUUUCUUUUGCUAAAAAGAAAAUUACUGCAUAUUCAAUUUUUUUUUUCCUCUCCCUUUUGAGAGGACAUAUCUCCUGUUACAUUACACUAAAGUCAGUAACACUAUGGAUAUAAAUGAUGAUGGUAGCUCUUAAAUAAAGAAAAAUCUCGAGUAUUUUUUAAAAUAUUUUUUUUAUUCACCACUUAUUAAAUAUAUAAUUUAACCAAUCAAAAUGAUAUUCGUAUAUAUAUAUAUAUAUUAAAAGGUGAAUGAAAAUAAAAUAAGAUCAAUAUUUCAAGAGUAUUUAAGACUCUUUCAGUUUUACCGACCAACAGUGCCCGUGAUAUUUAUAUACUAACUAAAGCUUUAAUUAUAAUACAUAUAUACUUCUCAAUACUUCUUUUAGCUGUUUCGAAUUAGUCAUCCACCAUUAGACUAGGACUUACUAAAGAUUAGAUCAUGCAAAUACUAUUUAACAAGAACAACCUCGGAGAAGUGUGCUUUGGUUAGUCUAGAGCUUCUUAGCAGAAGUGCACAGAUGACUUCUAUGUUAAAGUACAUCAAAUCAGCAUGAAGUUCAACACCACAUUAAUGAAUUGGAUAGUAAUCUUCAUAAAUUUAUUGUUUAAAUUUGGAUUAAAUUCUCUAUAGUUUAUCCUUUUACAGUUCUCAUGAAUUUCAACUUAUUUCCUCUUUUACCUGAUCCUAGGGCCUCAAUCUCUUUUAUUUGGCAUGUAAAACUAUGUUACAACAUUAUAAAAAAUACUCGAAAACAUUUUAAGCAUAAAUUCGAUCCAUCUCUUUUGGGUUUGCCAAAUUUAGAUUUAGAUUUACUUAACGAACCUACUGGACAAUCAUUAGAAAAAGGUUUUUCUCUCAGGUUUCCAUGUGUUUUUAUCACUAAUAUAUUUCUGUAGCCCAGUGGCAAGGAAAAAUGAGUUGAAAGAUAGGAAAAUGCUUGGUGAAAAGAAGCACGAGAGAAAAACGAGAGAAAUAAAAAAGAAAAUGGUAGAAAAAGAGUAAGUGGGUAGAGAGAGAAAGGCCAAAAUUCUUUCGUCUUUCUCUCGUGAUUCUCUAUACCUAGCACUACUCUGGAAGAUAUUUAAAAGUUACAAUUAUGAAGAAUCUUUAGUGAAUUUCAGCCUUCUGUUAUUUUCUCAAAUUAAAUAUGAAAAUUGAAGUACAACAUUUAGCAUCCUCAUACGAACUUUUUGUAUUGGGGUUGACCGUUGACUUUACUGACGGUGCUCCAAAAUUCCAUGCACCACCUGCCCUAUUAUACCGAGUCUCAUACCAGAUCCAUCCAUUAACGGACUUUGGACCAUCCGAUUUUCAAAUCUCAAAAUCAACGGCCGCUGUUGUAUUUAUAACUCGGUACGGACUCCUUUGUAUCGUCAUUGUCCGUUGCUGCACUUGCGCAUUGUACAGAAAGUCGGUUCCCUAUACUCUCGGUUACACCGAAUCACCGCUCACUUCUCUCAACGAACUUAAGCUACAGGGACGACAUCCGCUUCAUAUCCUUGCAUGACAUUUAAAAUUAAAUUUGGUAUGACAUUUAAAAUUAAAUUUGGUUAAACAUUUUUAACUUGGGAUCCCAAAACAUGAAUUUGGAUUUGAUUCGAAUGCGGUUAGUUAGUAUCAGUUAGGAGUACUAUAGAGCUACGCCAACAGAGAGAGAACGAGAAAUGGACGUGGAGAGAUCUUCGCUGUGCAAUUGCGUCGUGAAUUUCUUGCUAGAAGAGAAAUAUCUCUUGACGGCGUUCGAAUUACUGCAAGAGCUUCUCGACGACGGCAGAGACGCUCAGGCCAUUCGCCUCAAGGAAUUCUUCUCCGAUCCCUCUCAUUUUCCUCCCGAUCUCAUCACGCGCUUCAAUUCUCUCCGAGGUCCACUCCUUUCUCUCCUCUCUUUAUGCCGUUACGCUUAAAAUCUAGGGAUUUGAAUUGAAAUUAAUCUGAUAAACUGAAAUGACAUUGAAACGCUGUGUUUGGAUUUUUGAGGAAGCAGCCAGAUGAAUUUCAAUCUUAAAUGUUUGAUUUAUUCCUGCUUGUGAUAUUUUUGUGAAAUUAGUUAACGCGGGCGAGUGACGUGGCAUUGUAAGUAAUCGAGAUUAUUGUUGGUUUGUACAAGAGAUUUAAUGGAGCUGCAAAAUGUUUCAGUUGAUGAAUUACUGAUUAGUGUUAUUAAAAUUUGUUUUCCUUCUAGAUGCCUUAUCUUGCUUUCUGCUCUAUUUGAUGGCUUUUACAGUUUGAUAUGCCAGACUAUUUUCUUUUGACUUUUGGUUCAAAAUACAACUGAUACUUUGGUUUUCCUUUUUAAUAUUCUAUUUCAGUUGCUGAUCCUCAAAGUUUACUAGAAGAAAAAGAAGCUCUAGUAGAGAAAUUGGCAAUUACUGAGUAUGAGCUUCGUUUAGCCCAAGAGGAUGUUACAAAAUUAAAGGCUGAAUUGAAGAAGAAAAGUGACUCAUCGCUGGAAAAUCUAAAUGGUAUUAGCAAGUUUAUCUAGUAAAAUAAUUUUUGAAGACUGGCUCAUUCUGUGCUUCUGACCAUAUUUAUAACCAAAGAUGUGUAUAUAGACAACAGUGCACCCUAGGAUUUUGCUUAUAGAUAUUAUGCUUUUGCAUUGGCCCGCACUAUGCUUCUGCUUUCAGUGAAUUACUUUUGCAUGUUGGAUGAAUUUGCAGAGUCAAAUGAAAAUAAUCAUGGCAAUCAUGGAGUCGAAUUUCAACGACAGAAAAGGGAUAUUUCCUUCUCUGAUUUGGGUCCGUUGAAGGACAUUGAACGCAAAGAUCUUAACUGUGCUGUAAAGGAAUAUUUGCUUCUUGCAGGCUAUCGGCUAACUGCGAUGACAUUUUAUGAAGAGGUCCGAAUGCAUGCACAAACUCUCUUCCUCCUCUCCCCUUCCUCCCUCUUGUUGUGUUUGUUUAAACCAGUAAUAGAUGGAAGCUGUGCAAAACUAUAGUGACAUUCAUGGCAAAUAUAAUACCAUUGGAGAAAUCACGGGGCAAUUCGUAUUAAACUCAAGGAAAACUGAAUCUUAUGAUUACUUUGUGUUAAAUAGUAUAAAGCUGUGACUAAGCUGCAUAUUGUUGUGGUCCCUAUGGAUUCAUGGAAUUAUUGCUUAAAAACAUGUACUGUUUAUUAGACUGGGAAAUUGUUUAAUUUGUGUUGUUCUUAGGGUGGGAUAGAGUUAGGGUGUGUGAAAUGCCAAAAGGUUUUAAAAAAAAUUGAGAGAGAGAACUUAAACUUGAUUGAGGGGUUGUUUUAUGUUUAACAUGGUUCUUGAAAUUAUUCCCUUAUCGAUAUGUAAUUGAUUGUUUAUUGAGUAUUCGAAUUUCCCUAAAUUUUCUUAUCAUAGAUGUAGAGUUUUGAGUAUUUAUUUAUAACUUUAAUGAUAGAGCCACAAACUCUCUGUACAAACUGAUGUGGCACCGCAUAAUUGGUUGGAUAAAAAAAAAAAAACCUAGCUCACAUGAUUUUUUUUUUAAUGGAUAUAUUUUGUAUCCUAUAUGAACAUGUGAUCGACCCUUAAGAGGUUUAAAAUCUUCCAAUCAGGUGAAUGUUUGUUUUCUUUGUUUGAGUAGCUAAUAUCCAUGGUCUUUCUUAACUUCAUAAUGCUCUUGCCUCAGGUUACAGACCAAAAUUUAGAUAUCUGGCAGAACACACCUGCACGUGUACCGGAUGCCUUACGCCAUUAUUAUUAUCAGUAUCUGUCUUCCACUACAGAGGCUGCUGAGGUAUAUUCUCAGACACAAGUGUGGUAGGCAAGUUGUGCUUUAAGUUUCCAUAAAGAUGGUACUGAUUUUUUAUUGUGUAAGCUAAUGCUUUUAUAGCCCAUUACUUUCUAUGCGGUAUUCUACUUUUUCACCACAAUUGUGUUGUGUGUUUGUGUCCUGGUUGUUCUUAAGUGGUUUGACAAUAUCAGAUUAACCUUCUUUUCUGAAACUGUUAUGAUGAUUCAUAGGUUUUCGUCCUAGGCAUCAGAACAUUAAUGAAGAUUCAAAAUUGUCCAAAUCUGCUGUUUUGCGAACACUCUGUACAACUUUUUAAUAGUUUAUUGUUGUUAGUCUCAUAGAGCGGGACAGUUUCGCAUUGAUGACCCUUUAACCAUUUACUUUUAACAAUUCUUUUGUGGUAUUGAAUAGGUUUAUAGUUGGAGCUUAUUUGGAGCUUACUAAUGUAAAAAUUUCAUUUUUGAUCUUUUUAUUUUUAUUUUUAUCUAAAAGAAUUGAACAUAUUAUACACGUUUCUCAAUGAGAAAGUUGUAGCAAAUGUAUCUGUUUGUUAUACCUGGUUGUUUACUGACUGAUGCAUUACAUGGCAUGCAAAGUUAUUCUAGUUCUGAAGUUUCAUUGGGACUUGAGACAAAAAUGAGUUAUUAAUAUAGCCACUGGCUUCUACUGGAGUAAGUUAUAUUUUAUUCAACGUUGAAAACAUUAAUCUGCUGGUGAUCUUCCUAAAAUCGAAACUUGUAGACUUGGACAAUUGAUAUCCAGUAAAUUUGCUUUUUUAUGGGUUAGGCAUCGCCCUUACUAAAAAUUUUGCUUGUACUGCAGGAGAAAAUUGCCAUGCUUCGAGAAAAUGAGUCAUUAUUAAAAGUAAAUGAGAGGUUGAAUCACGAAAAGGAGAGCUUGUUGAAAACCAAAGAAAUUUCUGAUGGUCAAAUAAGUGCGUUAACCAAAUCUCUUGAAGCACUUCAUAGGGAUCUUAAGGAUAAGGAGAACUUGGUAGUGUGCUCUUCCUAGACUGCAUUUUGUAUACCUGUUGCUAUCUUGAUGCUCAUAAAUAUGAAUAUUUACACUGAUAAUCACGUCUUUUCAGAUACUGGACUUGAAGAAGACUACAGAACACCAAAGAAGGGAACUUAAUGAUUGCACAGCUGAAAUCACAGCACUCAAAAUGCACAUUGAAGGAUCUCAUUCUGUGCGGAAUUUUGCUACUACUAAUGGUGAUGUUAUCCAAUCACAGCCCGUUGAAAGAUAUGAGGAAGAGAUAAAAUCUUUGCUCAAGGAAAUAGAAAGAUUGAGGGCCAAAAGCACAAAUGCUUCUGAUUCUUUAGGUUCUGUAUAUUCUGAGUCUAUGCAGACAGAAGAGAAAGUAGUUGAAGUAGAUGAAGAUAAAACUGUACUUGCUCAUCCAUCCGUGGAAGUGGUAAACAGUGAAGAUGCUCAAUCACUGGCUACUCAAACCCCUGAUAAUAAUACUGCUAAACAACCUAACGAAGUUUUACAAGGGGAGUCCACAAGUUCCUUAAAGGAAAAUAUUGCUUCUGAAAACAGUGAAAAUGUACCAAACCUAAAUGACGAAUCCCCUUUGAAAGAUAGUGGGCUACCACUACAAUCAGACAAUGCAAGUCUUGAAGCUGCAUCUGACAAAAUGGCAAGUUUUAUUCUCUUUUAGGUUUGGAAUUUUCUCCUUUUCCUUAGUUUUGGUUGGGGAGUGUGGGAUGGGACUUCUAUGAAAUGUGUCGAAUUUGAUGCCAAACAAUAUUGUUAUUUGGCCUUCCCUUUUCCGCCUCUCUUUCUCCAUUUCUAUUGUUUGAAAUUAUUUUUGUUGGCUUGUUUGCUCUAUGCUGGAAAUGUUGUUAUAUUUUUUAUUCUAAAAACAAUUAUUUUUGACAGGGUUUAGGAACUAUUCAGAUCCUUGCAGAUGCCUUGCCCAAGAUUGUUCCUUAUGUUUUAAUAAACCAUCGGGAGGUUUGCUUUGCUCUUAUCUAUUUUUUUUGUAUGGAUCUAUCUCAGGAUCUCUUUUUUGAGUGACGUUUUUCACUAUUGGUCUUAUUAUUUAAACCAUAGGAGCUUCUUCCUCUGAUAAUGUGUGCAAUAGAGCGCCAUCCAGAUACAAGCACUCGGGAUUCCUUGACCCAUACUCUAUUCAACUUGAUUAAACGUCCAGAUGAAAAGCAGAGAAGAAUUAUAAUGGAUGUAGGUUACUUCUUGAAGUAUUACAUUUUAAUAUUGGAUAAUUGUUUUGUUUGAUGAUAAUUCUGCAUCAUUUCGGCUUCUUUCCAGGCAUGCGUUACCCUUGCUAAGAAUGUUGGAGAGAUGAGAACAGAAAUGGAAUUGCUUCCACAGUGCUGGGAACAAGUAAGUUGUAGUCGUCGAUUUUCUGGGACCAUCUUGCUCACUGAAUAUUUCUUGUCUUUCUGAAAAUUUGGCUUUUGUGUCAUGCAUUACAGAUAAAUCACAUGUAUGAAGAGCGUCGGUUACUUGUUGCACAAUCAUGUGGAGAACUUGCAGAAUUUGUCCGACCUGAGAUUCGUGAUUCUCUUAUUUUGUCCAUUGUGCAACAACUGGUAGAAGAUUCAGCUACUGUGGUUCGAGAGGCUGCUGCUCGUAACUUGGCAUUGCUACUUCCACUAUUCCCAAACACGGACAAAUAUUUCAAGGUCAGCCUCACUAAAUAUGCUUCAAGGCAAUCAUGGCGAAGAAUUCUGACUUGACAGUUUGGCUACAAUGUAAGCUCUAGAACACGUUGAUGACCCAUGGUCUAGGGAAUGGAGCCUUUUCCCCUUAACCUAAUAUGAUGACUUACAAGAAAAUAAGUAAAAUUAAAAUAUAAAAAAAGUGAAGCUUUUCCAAUAUCUCAUUCUGUUUGUUGAUAGGUAGAGGAUUUGAUGUUCCAAUUGGUAUGUGAUCCCUCUGGAGUGGUGGUAGAAACUACAUUUAAAGAACUACUUCCUGCUGUAAUAAAUUGGGGAAGCAAACUGGACCAUAUCUUGAGAGUUUUGCUUUCUUAUAUCUUGAGCUCUGCUCAGGUAUGCUUAUUUUCUUUUCAUUCACUUUUCUUAUGAGACUUAAAUUCCACAUGUGGUUCUUGAUGCUUUUUCUUUUUAACUUUUACUAUAUUUCCAGCGCUGUCCUCCUCUUUCUGGAGUUGAGGGUUCUGUUGAGUCACAUCUGCGUGUUCUAGGUGAACGAGAACGCUGGAACCUUGAAGUUUUGCUGAGAAUGAUGGCAGAACUGCUUCCUUUUAUGCAGAAGAAUGCAAUUGAGACAUGCCCAUUUUCCUCUGUUUCAUUGUCGGAGGAAACUGUUUUUCCUAGCUCCUUGCUUGAAUUGUAUGCAGGGUAAGCUUUCCUUCUCUUUUUUCCUUUUCCUAAUUACCAAAUUUCAUGGUAGAACAAUUAUUUGUCUGUUGAAGACAAAUUACAAUGUUGAAGGCUUGUUUAUGGCUGUAUUUACUCUAGGAGAUAUUUAUUUCUGUUCAGGGGACAUAUUGAAUGGCCAGCAUUUGAAUGGAUGCAUGUCGAUUGCUUUCCUGGUCUGAUACAGCUGGCUUGCUUGCUACCUCAAAAAGAAGAUAAUUUAAGAAAUCGAAUUACUAAGGUAGCUGUGUCAGAUUUCAGUUUGAUUCUUUGUGUUUCUCGUCUUCAUUUUGUGGCCUUGAGGUUGAGAUCUGCUCUUAAACUUAUUGCUGAUUUAGAUAACAAUAUUGCAGUUUUUGCUGGCUGUAUCUAAACAAUUUGGAGAUUCUUACCUAACCCACAUAAUGCUGCCUGUAUUCAUGGUAGCAGUUGGGGAUAAUGCUAAUUUAACAUUUUUCCCUUCUACCAUUCAUUCAGGAAUCAGAGGUACCGGUUGCUUAAUUCUUUUGUGGAGUCCGUGUAUGUCAGUGUAUAUUGUCUCUGACCGUUGCUUGAUUGCAGGUCUGAAACCAAGGACUGCUGUGGGUGAGAGACUUGCUACUAUGGGAGUGCUGCCACUUCUCCUGGCAGGUGUUUUAGGUGCUCCCAGCAAGCAUGACCAAUUAGCUGACUACUUGAGAAAGCUGUUAGUUGAAGGCACCAUGAAAGAGAAUCAUACAGUGAAGUGCAAUGCUGAGAUUGUUAAUGCAGUCCGCUUCCUUUGGUUUGUUUAUUGGAAACACCUUUGUAUCUAAAUAUUUGCAAUUUAUGUUUUCAUUUAUGUUUAUCUUCUACGAUGCAGCACAUUUGAAGAACAUCAUACAAUGGUAUUCAAUAUCUUAUGGGAAAUGGUUGUCAGCUCCAACAUAGAUAUGAAAAUCAAUGCUGCCAAUCUGUUGAAAGUCAUUGUAAGUUACAGUGUCAUGGAAUUAAUGUUGCCAGCCAUCCUUGACAUGAAUUUAUAAUUAUUAAACUUUAUCUGCCUUGUAGGUACCAUAUAUCAAUGCAAAAGUUACUUCUAUGCAAGUUUUGCCUGCUUUAGUUACUCUUGGCUCUGAUCAAAACCUGAAUGUGAAGUAUGCUAGCAUUGAUGCAUUUGGAGCUGUGGCGCAACACUUUAAAAAUGACAUGGUAUCAAACUGCUGGUUAUGACUUCAUUGUUUGAAAUCCUGGAAAAGCAAUUUCCAUACAGUGCACUAAUUAAAAAUUUGGAUCCUGUAGAUUGUUGAUAAAAUACGUGUUCAAAUGGAUGCUUUUCUUGAAGAUGGAUCCCAUGAAGCUACUGUUGCAGUGGUCCGUGCAUUGGCAGUGGCAGUACCGCAUACAACAGAAAGACUUAGAGAUUAUAUCCUGAAUCUUCUCCCUGAUAGUUUCUAUAUUAACCUUUUAUUUGAAUUAGUAGAAUAUUUGCAUUGAGUUUAACCAUUUUAAAAUUAUACUGACAUGUUAGCAUGAAGGUCAUUAGGUUAAACCCUUUUCUUUCCUUGACAUGAUUUACAUCUGUUAUCCAAGAUUUUCCAACUUUCAGCCGUUCCUUCUUCUUCAAGUGAUGUUAUGCGUCGCCGUGAGAGAGCUAAUGCUUUCUGUGAAUCAAUUCGUGCUUUGGAUGCUACAGGUUUACAUCGUAUCCAUUAAAUUCUAAAUAGGACAAAAUUUUAAUUGAUUAAAUUGGUUUAUUCUUAUGAAAGUGGUAAGCAUCACUAACAUUCAGGUGAAGAAAUGUGAUUCUUCAAAUUGUAUUUGUGGUUCUUUUGUUGGAUUUUAGCAUGAUAUCAAAUCUUUAGAAAGAACCAACUUACAAGAUAGAAGAUACAUCUGUUAGGGUACAAACUUUAGAUCUUUUUAUUAUUUCAACAUUACUCAAAAACUCAAUGGAUUUGCCUUUUUUAUCUAGCAAUUUUAUUCAUUCAAGAAAUAUUGCUAUAAUAGCUGUUCAUUUUACAUGUUAUAGUCAAGCUUCAGAUUCAUUGGAACAGACACAAUUCCUGUUCAGUAUCCAAUGAUGCGUACAUGUGCAUUUGCAUUUGAACAAUUCUUAUUGUUUUGUUGUGUUUGUUGAUGAUUUCUUAUCUGUUUGUUUCAGAACUUUCUGCCACUAGUGUUCGGGAUUUCUUAUUACCAGCUAUACAAAAUCUUUUAAAAGACGCAGAUUCACUAGAUCCGGCACAUAAAGAAGCCCUUGAAAUAAUAAUGAAGGAUAGGUCUGGUGGGACUUUAGAGACUAUCAGUAAGGUAAUGGGUGCUCAUCUCGGGAUUACAUCAUCAGUGACCAGCUUCUUUGGUGGUGGCGUUGGCGAGGGCCUGCUGGGUAAAAAAGAAAUUGCAGAGCAAUCAGCAGAGCCAGUUCACUCACCGGAGCCUCCACCUCCUGCUCCAGCAGAGGACACUAGAUUCAUGCGAAUCAUGAGGGGGAAUUUUGUAGGUGACAUGCUUAGGGGCAAAGCAAAAACCAGUGAAGAUACUUCACGGACCCAGAACCAGUAAAAUUUUUUUUUUUUAAAUUAAAUUUUGUUUCAGAUUUUAUUUUUUCAUACCCCAAAGUGAAUUUUUAAUCUUUUGAGGCAAUCCUCAUUUUAUAGGAAGAACUGAAAAGAGAAAAUUGGAAAUAAUAGAUUUGAUGGUUCUAUGUUACUUGUUGAAAACUAAUGGCUAAUGAAAGAAAUCAACAGUUGUUUUCGGAUUUUCUAAUCUCUACCAUGGAUGGAUGGAAGUGGUUCUUACAGAGGAAAUGCGUUUGAAAUCUAGAAUUUUUGGACUCUUUUAACUGGUUACCCUGUGUCAAGAAACCAAACAACAUUAUUUUGCUGUAAUUGUUGAGAAUGCAAUGUUUGGUAUUGCUAUCGAGGUGAGGUGGAAUUAAAGUCAAAGCCCGAAACCUAUAGUUUUUUUUGUUUGGAAGGGGGGGGGGGGGGGGGGGGGGGGGGGGGGGGGGGGGGGGGGUGGUUAGGGGGAUUGAUUGUGCGGAGUAACUUUAACUUUUAAAUAAUAAUGUUGAUUAAAAUAAGUAAGAUAUUGUAAUUUAUAGAUUUUUUAUCAUAUGAAAAAUGAGAUAAAAUUAACUUUUAAAUUACAAGCGUUGACUAAAUUAAGCAUUGUAACUUAUACUGGACUACAAUACCAAACAGGGUCUUAAGGUUUUGCUAUGUUGAUGAGCAAUGAUCAAAUGCAAAAUGGCUUGAAUUUUCAUAACCCUUUUGACUCCCGAAAUCGAAUAAAUAAUGUCAAGAAUGAGAUUGGAUCCCAUGGUCUUUCGGACCGGUACCUAAAACUGGCGCCAAUCUCCUACUGUUGCUCGUUUAGAGACAAGAUAAAGAGUCCAUCUGAAUUUCGGAAAAACUCAGCUAGGUAAUAAUUAGACACGAGAAAGAUAUGAAUAUACUAGUCUAACGUCAAGUCCUGUGUGAUGACAGCCUGGUACGUUUAAAAGUUAUCAUAAACAAGGGAGACAUAUGUAUGGACCUUGUUAAGUAACGUCAACACAAUAGUCUCUUAACUUUCAAAAGUUGUAUUAAUUAUGUACAUAUAUGGUCCGAUUGUAAUUUUCAGUUGGACUUCUGGUACUAAUAUAAUUUUUCCUUUAUUCAUUUUAAUCUGAUUAAUAGUGUAUUUACUCUUUGGCAAGUGGGAUCAAUUAAUCUAAUCAUUCCAAACCAAUUGAGUUGAUUAAUUAAUUAUACAAUUAGUGCAUGAUUUUACUGUACCUUUAAUUAAAAAAUUUGGAAAGCAUGUUAGAAAUGUCGGGCAACAUGUUGCAGAGCUUCAACAGCACUGCCUCUUUCAUUACCCCCAGAGGGCGCUUAGUUGCAUACAAAAUAUGCUUUUAGGUCAGGGAAUCUUCAUUUACUAAUCCACAACCAGACAAAUAAAAACAUUGUUAUAGUUAUUUCAAUAAUGUCACCACUUCCUCUCAUUCUCACCUGAAAAACAAGCUAAGAGUUUGAGCUUCAGCUCGACUAAAAUGGUUCCAGUUGGUUCCGCUCUUUUUUCGCCCACUUGUAACUUCUUUUUCUCUCCUUGUGCUUCAAGAAGCAUGCACAGAAGUCAAAAUGUUAUUAAGUUUUGUGUCAGCAAUGUGAUGGCUGAGUCAACAACAGUUAGUACAAGUGAAAGAACAAGUCUUGGGUUUAAGAAUUUGACUGAGACUUUUUGGGUUGAUGUGCAGAGAGCUGAAGGAAGAGAAUUGAAUGUUGCUCUUAGUGCACCCUUGAGCUUGGGACUGACAAGUGUUGAGAAUGUGGAGAAUGUGGCCAUUAGAGUUGAGUUGAGUAAUGGCUGUGUUGGAUGGGGUGAGGUGGCGGUGGUUCCUUUGGUUACUGGAGAUCAGGCUAAGGCUCUUGUGAAAGUGAGAGAGGCAUGUCAGUUUCUGAGGCAGAGUCCACCAACGACUUUGAAUUUUGCUCUUGAUGAAAUUGCUCGGAUUCUUCCUGGGAGUGAAUUCGCUUCUGUAAGUAUGAUCAAAAUUUUGUUGAAGUUUUGGUGAUUUGGAUAUGUUGUUUCUGGACUAUCUUUGUAUGCGAUGUUUGUAUAUGUGUAUCUGUUUGUUUGCUAGGUGUUUGAAUUUGGUACAGAAACCUCUUUAACUCUAUGGCUCAAAUUUUUUUUAUUAUCUGAAAACACUUUGGCUAAAGAGUUUUUGACCAACGUGAAGUUUCAUUUACUAGAAAAAUUCCAAAUCCUAAGAGAUAUCAUACUUUUGUAGGUUAAAAAGGAAAGUGCACUUUCAAUUCAACCUCUAUGCUUUGGUACUUGGUUGAACUUUUAAUACAAUAGUUGCAUCCUCUGAAGACAUCUUUGGUUUGAAAGGAUUUUGUGCCCUUUUUGCUUGUAUCUCUCAUUGAAGGUUAGGGCUGGAGUUGAAAUGGCAUUGAUUGAUGCAGUUGCUAAUAGUAUUGAUAUUCCGCUAUGGCGAUUGUUUGGUGGAGCGUCGAACAGCCUAUCCACAGCUAUAACAGUUGAGUUGCUAAUUUAAUUUUUCUUUGGUUUUUAUUGGCUUAUUGGCAAGUUCAGUUUAAGGAUUUAUCCCUUACAUGGUAGAUUCCAGCCGUUUCCCCCGCUGAAGCUUCUGAAUUGGCCUCAAAAUAUUGCAAACUAGGAUUUAGCACCUUAAAGCUUAAUGUGGGAAGAAACAUAAGUGCAGAUAUUGAUGUUUUACAAGCCAUACAUGCUGUGCAUCCUCAUUGCUCCUUUAUCUUGGAUGCAAAUGAAGGAUACACUUCUGAGGAAGCAGUCGAAGUCCUUGGAAAGUUAAAUGGUAAUGGAAUUUUCUACUUGGCAAUCAAUAGAUGCUCAUUGCAUGGCUAUUACUUUUCUUUGUACUUGUUUCUUUGAUCAGAAAAGUAUUCUAACUGUUAUCCAAGUGCAGACAUGGGAGUAAUUCCUGUUCUCUUUGAACAACCAGUUCAUAGAGAUGAUUGGAGUGGUCUUCAUGAUGUCAGUAAUUUUGCUAGAGACACGUAUGGCAUAAGUGUCGUUGCAGAUGAAAGUUGUAGGAGUUUGAAUGAUGUUCAGAAAGUUAUGCAGGAAAACCUUGCAAGUGUUGUUAAUAUUAAACUCGCCAAGUUUGGGGUCCUGGGCACCCUUCAAAUUAUUAAGGCCACAAGAAAAUCAGGCUUGCAUCUUAUGAUUGAUGGUAUGAUCGAGACAAGGCUUGCGACGGGCUUCGCUCUCCAUCUCGCUGCUGGUCUCGGAUGCAUCAAGUAAUUAUGCUUUUCAUGUCUUCAUUUUCAGCAAAUAGUUACUUACUGACAUUGGUCUUGUAUUAACCAUUCUAUCUGGCUACUUCUUAGUGUCCGAACUCUUAGAUUCCCUUGGUUGAAAGUUUUAUAGAUAGUUCAAGUGUGGCUGCCAAUUCUUUUGCAGAUAUAUUAAUCUGAAUACGCCCUUUCUGCUGUCUGAGGAUCCAUUCGUGGGGGGUUGCGAAGGUAUAUGUUUGCUUUAAAGCUCAAAAUGUUUAUAAGAACCAAAUUUUCACAAUAUCAUGCUAGUGACUUGAGCUUUUAAACUUCAUAUUUAUAAAAAACUUAGUCAAUAGUUAUUGAUGCUUUCUGUGGCUAGUUUCUGGGGCCAUCUACAACUUCACUAAUGCCAGAGGUCAAGGAGGUUUCUUAAAAUGGACUAUUGUUUCCUGGUGAGUUAUCCACUUACUCGCUGGUAGUAUGUUCCAAUAUGUAUUAAAAAUUAAUUGUGCUUGUUGCCAUCCUGAAUAAAAUGAUCUUCUUGCUAAUGUUUCAACAUAUUAUAAAUCAUGAUUAGUAGUCUACUCCAAUCAUAUUAUAAAGCUUAGCUAUUUGGAUGUAUAAAGUUGAUAUAUCAUGCACAUUCCCAGACAUUAUAUAUAUCUAGAUGUGAUUCGGCAUUUUACGACUGGGAAUUUUGGGGAAGAAACCUUUCGAUCUAAAUCAAGAUGCUGCUGCUUAGCUAAUUCCAGUCGCUCUUGUUUCAGCACUCAGGUUGAUUGCUGUCAUGGAAAACCUUAAUUUGCUGAACUGGACUGGCUUUUGAUUUCCCCCGGCGAUGUAGAACCAUUUAUCUAGGCUAUAAAUUGCGAGCUAGUUCAUGGGAGUUAUCAAUAAACAAUUAAAUAUAGAGCAAUCAAAAUAUUGAUGAAUGUAAUGAAGUUAACUGAGGAAGCGGGAAUCAGUAUUGUUAUAGGGAAUAUCUAAAAGCCAAUUAUCACUAUUGCUUAACCUUGACAUAGAGUCUUAUACUGUGUCCAGAAUUCAUCCAAUGCUGCUUUCAGAAUCCGGACUUGAAUAUUCUGUGUCAUUGAUUCAGUCGAUUGACAAUUGUAGAAGUAGAUCUAUUUUAUGCUUUCUGAGUUAUUUACCUCUUAUAGGCCAUGGAUGUAAUGUGCAUGUAUUAUAAUAUGCUGAAAAUAGGCAAAGUAACUAAUGGUGUGUUUGGAAUUAAGGUUGGGCAGCUGUAUCUUAAAAGUUACAGCACUAAAGUGUUUAGUAAAUAUUAACUGUUGUAACUUGGAAAGUAUGUUAAUGUGAUUUUUCAUCUGCAUAAUAGAAAAUAUAUUAUAUCUUUAAUAAUUUUGUCAAAAUUAUUAUUUAAAAUUUAUAUUUACUACAUAUUAUUAAUUUUUAUUUUAUAGUUACAGUUUUUUUUCCACAAUAACUUUAGAUUAAAAGUUACAGCACCUCAAUUUUAAACAGGACCUAACACUGCAUGAAUUAAUCUGAGUUUUUGAUUGCCACAUAAUUAUAAACAAACAUUGAAGCUAAAAAGUUUCUUUCAUUGUCAUCGAUUCUCGUUAUGGAUGUCUCCGAUUCUUAAGAUUUACAGUUACAUUACAUUAUUUACAAGUGAGGGGCGCACAUGCAUUCAUUACUGUGCUUAUGUGUGUGUGUGUAAGAGAUUGAAACAGAGGAGAUGGGCAUCUUAAUUCUGUUACUUCGGAGUCAAAAACAGAAUCUCAUUGCCAUUCUAUAAUUCUUUCCUGUGAAUUAAGUGCAAUUUUCUUUUAAUUUAAAUGUCUAAUUUUCUACAUUUGAUAUCCUGCAGAUGGCUAAACUAUUCUUCCAAGCUCACAAAUUUCAUCUCAGGGUCCAAGCUUUAUUACUGAACAUGGAAAUAUGACAAAAUUAUGCACGUAUCAAAGAAUUGGAUCGAUGCCAUCGGGGAUGCAAAUUCUCAGUUUUCAAGGGAUCACUUAUGUAGCCCUUGAUCACAAUUAGUUUUAAAAGAAUCGUAAGCUUCUUUUCAUUCUUCUAAAAAGUAGAAAUAUAAGUCUAAUAAUUUGUACCUCUAAGGCAGCGUUUACUCCACAGAUUAAAGUGGGAAUCCUCGAAUUAAGAGUGUGGGAUGGGAAUAGAAUAUUAAUUUAUAUUGUAAUGGAAGUGUGGAAUAUGAAUCAUAAUCUCAUUUAUUUGUUUAUUUUAUUUUGGAUCGGGAACGAAUUAUUUUUAAUUGAAGUUUUACCCUUAUUUAAAGAACUGUAUUUUUUAAUUACAAAGUAAAUAAAAAAAUAUUUUUGUAAAAUAAACUAUUUAUUUUAUUGUUGAUUUUAAUUAUAUAAAUAAAUUAUUAUUAUUAUUAAUAUUCUUAACUAUGUAAAUCAUAAUUUUUUUUUAAAAAAUGAUUGAUAAGAGCAAUACAAAUGAAACAUUAUUAUUAAUAAUAUAGUACAAAUUAAUAUUUUCUUAGAAUAAACUAUUUAUUAUUAUUAUUAUUUAUUAUACUAUUAAAAUUAAAAAAAUUAUAAUAUUUUUGAGUAAUUUUAACUUAGAAUCAAUGUAAAUUACUAUUUUUAACUAAAUACAAUAUUAACAUAUUUAAAUAAUUUUAAUAUUAUUAUUUUUAAUCAAAGCAAUAUUAUUAAUAUAAUAAUAUUAUUUAAAUAAAUAUGAUUUUAUUAAUUUUAAAUAUAAUUAUAUUAUAUUUAAUAAGGGAGUGAGAAUCGCACACCUUACUCCAAAAGUGAAUGGGAUCCACGGCGUGAGACUCUCACUCUCUUAUUUAAAUAAAUAAGUAAACACUAAAAUGGGAGGAAUCUACACUUCAUGCCCCCCAUUCUUACAAGUAAACAAAAUAUAAAAUACUUUUACUUUUGCUACCAGUAUCAUAAUGCUCAUUAUUGAAGUUUUUAGGUGAAGUGGUAACUUAAUGUGAUAUCAAGUCCUCUUUAAAACCAUGAUGCUUUGCCCGGUCUUCGAAUCCACCUAAGUCACCUGCAUCUGUAUUCAUCUGACAAUCACAAGUGAUAUUGUAUCUUUCCUUUCGAAUCCAGCUAUGUGUCUAUCCUUUUUUUAAGUCUCAUAACAAAUUGCCAGCAUAAACUCUUUGUUGAUUUUCUUAUGCAAAAAUAAGCAUAAACUUCGAAGAUAGUUGAAUUAUUUAUUGUUACCGAAACCACUACUGCUUGCUGCUCUCACUGUAUCUGUAAACCCAUUAAAAGAGAAACAAACACGGGGAGAUGAAAGCUAGUUAUUUUCCAAUCUUUUAAUGUUUCUGUUGGGUCGACCUCAAGUACUUAAGAAAUUUUUGUCAUUGUUCAAUUCUUAUUUCUGAAUUUUGUCCAGCAUCUGUAUUGUGAUUUGAAUUAAAUGGGUGUCAUUAGUAGCUGGAUGUUAGGUGAAAUGCACCAUCAAGUUUGAUACCUAUCUAUGUUUGUUUGAUCUGAUAUACAACUUCCUGAACACAGCCAGGAUAAGGUUUUCAGCUUGUUUGCGCGAGGUGGAAGGCACCCAAUAGGUCAUUGUGGUGUUUGAUUAGCAGUUACGACAAAAAUAUUUAAAGACGUGAUUUUGAUAUAAUCUUAAACAAAUAGUAAUAAUUUGAUUACAAUCUUUUGGUUGGAUGGCUCCCAAUUUUUUUUUUAUAUUUUCUCACUCAUGUUGAAUUGAUUUAAUUGCCCGAUGGAAAUGUAAUAAUUUUUUAUUUUUUUGAAUAGUCACAACAUUAAAGGACAGAAUGAAUGACAUUUAGUUGAGUGCUGAGAUGAUAAGAUUUCUUGUGUUGAAAAUAGGAGGUAUGUAGUUUGAAUCUCGCUUACACGGUUGUGGAAGAAUUGAGUUUCCAUUACACAAGAAAAAAAAAAAAAAAAAAGCUAUUAACGGAUGAAAAUCUAGAUUGUACUGUUGAUUUGCAUUCUAGAGUAAGUUAAAAAACAGUACAAAAUAUUAAAAAUACAAAACAGGUUUUGAAUUAAAAUAUUAAAACAUAGAAUCAAAGUUGAAUAUGAAGCAAAGAUGAGUAACCAUACACGAAGAGAGAAUUGCAUAGACGGGCCGACAAAUAAUAGAAAUAUUGACAAAGUAACAAAUAAAAGAUUGACCUCAUUAUAACAAAUCAAGUUAUUCAAUAUUUCAAACAAAUCUCAAAUUCAAAAUAGCCCAUUACCCAAUAAAGACUUAUUAUCUUUAAUAAUAACCUAAAAUCCCCUAUACAACUAAUUGCAAAUAUUUUUUCACAUGCGCUUGCCGCAAUAAGUCAUGUGAACCAAAAUCUAAUUAAUGGUUAGAUAUUGAAUUGAAGUAAUUAAUAAAUCAUAAUCAAUCAAACCCGUUUUGAUCACUUUUGAGUUUUGAAUAGUUUAGUCGUAACUAUUGACUCUGAAUAAUGAAGGCGACUAGAAAUAUUGAUUGUUAAUGCUUAUAAUCAAAUUAAUCAUCGCAACCAGCGACUUACAAAAAGGUUAGGAGGAAAAGCAAAAGGAAUGGGAAAAGGAGAAAAUAUAUUAGUUUAUUGGUUAAGUUUCUAACUUUUGAAAUUAUAAUUAUAAUGCUGAAUAGAUCACUAAUUAAUUUGUGGUGUUGGCUGGUCCCAUCAGUAAAAUCUUUAGCUCUAUGUAUUGUUCAUGGUUUAUUAUCUUAAUUUAAAAUAAUAAAAAAAUAAAAAUCUAUUCGUAGAAGAAGCUUUUGAAAUGUCAUUUUUCGAAAUAAAAUUAGUUUAAAAUUUAUUUUUAUAAUCACGAGAAAGACUCGUAUGAAAUCAGGCACAACAUAACACCGAUGUUGAUCACCCAGACGGUGAGAUUCCACAAAUUAAAUGGUCCUGUGACACAUUGAAUUAAAAAUCCGGGGGUCCCUUGCCGACAACGUCUCACUCUGUGCUGACACCUGUCACCCAAAUUCAAUAAUUAUAGGACUGGCCUUUAAUUUUUAGUAGGUCCCACUUCAUUGACUUAUUUGACUCCUAGACCCCGUAAAAGAAGUCCACUUUCCCCAUUUUGUACCUAGUCUAUACGCUAUUGGAAUAUUAACAUCAGGGUCUCUAUAGUUUUACGAUUUCAUAAAUAAGAACACAGUUUUUCAUUUACAUUAAAAAUGUGCCUUUUGUAAUUUAUUUCCUAUUGAAAUGGCCCAAUAAAAUUAGUAAGCUAGCGUUUGGUUUUAAAAAUGAAAUGGAAAUAGGAAAUGAAAAGGGAAUGAAUUUGAUCCAUUUGUUUUGUCGGUGAAAAAAAUUUAAUUAGUACAGAAACUACUAUAAUAUAAAUAGAAAAAAUACACUCUUUACCCACCUCUACAUAUGAUUUAAUCAAUUUAAUUUAUAAUCAUUAAUAGUUUUUGGUGUUUCUGUAGUUGACUAGUUACAAUAUAUCUUCUCAUAUCUUUAAAAAUUUAAUAGCUAACACCUGAAUUUACGGAUUACAUAUUAUAAUUAAACAUGCUAAUACAAUUAGCUUAACACUAAAAGGUAUUUCAGUAAUUUAAAUAAGGAUCAGGGAUCUAUUUGAUACAAAUAGAAAAAUUAUACCCUUACAUGAGAGAAUGUAAAACAUUGGGGACCCGAAUGUUAUUACACUACUUUUGCUUCACCUAUAAAUUGGGUGAAUGGCCUUGUCCAAAAAUCACCAUCUCCCUUCUUUUAAGUUCUUUUUCUAUAUCUUUGUUUUGUGAGAAAAAGGUUAUAUUUGAUGAUGCAGAGGGUUUCUUCGGUUGAAGCUGUGAGGUUUGUGAUGGUGGUUUUGGUGGCCGUGGCAGCACUAAGCCAAGUGCAUGUAGCAGAGGCAGUGACAUGCAGUCCAACAGAGCUGAGCCCAUGCUUGGCAGCUCUCACGUCGUCGGCGCCGCCGUCCGGAGCAUGCUGCAACAAGCUGAGGCAGCAGAGGCCAUGCCUUUGUGGGUACCUGAGAAACCCUAAUCUGAGGCAAUAUGUUAACUCUCCCAAUGCCAAAAGGAUUGUUGCAACCUGUGGAAUUCCCUAUCCUCGGUGUUAGGUUUUAACUAAAUGUUUUAUCAAAAAGCUUGUCAUAAACAAAAAAGUCAUAAAUAAAAAAGUGUGUUGCAAGAUUGAUUAGUGAGUAUUAACGUGGAAUAUGCUAAAGUUUGUGAGUGACAGAUGGCUUGGGUGCCAUCAAUGUACUUCUGAAGAUGGAAUAUAUUGUAAAAUAUAUGGAUAAUGAACUGAUAAUAAGCUGUAUUUAUGUUAUGUACUCAUGCUCCCUUUUUUUUUUUUUUUUUUUUUUGGAGACUUCCUAUUUUUAUUUUCAUUAUUAUUAUUAGAUUGGUGCUAUUUACACUCUCAAA